GGGUUAUAAGGUUUUCAAAACUUUCGAUGUGGGACUAAGAGGUUUUAGAGAGUUGUUAGGGGGGUUUAUGGUGCGCCGAUGGGUUCAUGGUCCACGCGCCUAUUGCUGUGGACCAGGCGGCUAAUCAGAUCACCAAAUCAGUUGAUUUUUGAUCAAUUUUGAUCUGAUUUGACUCGGGUUUGACCCAAUUGAGUCUUCUUUCUUCAUUCUUCAAUUUCUGGAUCAAUUUAACUCCGUUUUGCAUAAAAUUUGCGUCGUUGGAAUCCUCUUUCCUUGUUCUUUCUAUUGAUGAUCUCUUCUUCUGCAAAAUAUAAUAACAAGUAUCAAUUUCUUAAUAAAGUUAGAUAAUUUAGAUAUUAAUUGAUACUUUUUAUGUCAAUUUGUGACAUAAAUCAAGUGGUGAGAACUAAAGAAGAAAAGAUCAUGAGGGAGGAGGAGAAUAUGGCUAUAGAGGGAAGGUAUUUCCUUCUUUCUCUUAUUUUUUUAUUGAAAUUUUGGAGAUAAGAAGAGAGAGUGGGAAUGAGAGAUUAUGAGAAGAAGAUGAAGAUUUAGAGAGAUGAGAGAUUAUAGAUUUUGGUAUUUGAGAAAGAAGAAGAGAAUGUGGCUCAAAAUAUUUCAAGCCACGUCAGUGCCGAUUGAGCCAUGUGAGCAAAGGAUAUUCCACAUAAGCAUCGAAGAUUGCUACAUCAAAUUUUUGAUGAGAGAAAAUCAUCAGAAUCGUAUCUGAGAGUAAUAUUAAACCGGUUCAGAUAGUUUGGAGAUCAAAAUUUAGCUUUUUAUAGUUUAUGGACCAUUUAAGAAAAUUUAAUUUACUUCAGAUACUGGGAACAUAAUUUAUCCAAAAGAAAAGAAGAAAAUCUUCUUACUUCAACCUUGAUUGUGUCAUAAUAGAAUGAUAGACAAGUAGAUGGCUAUCUCAAAGCAACAAUCUUUUAUCCAUUUUUCGAACUAAUUAUGGAAAGUGAAAAGCUGCCCCACCAAGAGCAAACCCCCACAUAAAGACGAAAAUGAGAGAAUGGGAAGCAAAACCUACAACAUGGCUAUUUGGUCCUUUUAACAAGCAAGUCAUAUGCUCCAAACCCUAGUCCUCUCUCAUCAUCCGAUGAAUUUUCGAUCCACAUCCAUUCUCCUAUAAUUUUUAUUAUCUUACAUUCUUACUUAAGUCGGAGCCUUAACCAUCCGAUAAGAACGAUCAAAUAUAAAAAUAGAAUAUAUCACCAAAGAUAAUUUUGAAUUUUUUGAUCUUGUCUAUUUUGAUUCCAGUCUAUUUGCAAAAUUACCACACAAAUAGAAGAAAUAGCAAUAGCUAGAAAAAUUACCCACGGGAGAAACACCAUCGGAGAGUGAGAAAAAGUAGUGAGAAAGGCACGUGGCACUUUCGUAAAACAACACACCUUGUAGGGAGUUCUAAAUUUUUUUUUAAUAUAAUUAUAUUAUAGAGAAGAGGGCAUGAGCACCUCUCUACAAUGUCUCAUAAAAAAAAUAGAGCAGUUUAGAGAGGGUGCCAUAGACAUCAUGGCAAAGAAAGAAAAAAUUUAGAGGAUAGGGAGGUGGUAUGCCUCCCUCUUUGCCCUAUCCCAUCAAAAAAAAAUAUAAAAGGUGUUUGGUUGGGAUAAUUAAGGUCUAAAAUGGAAAUCAAAAUGGAUGACUCUCAUUCUAAGUGUUUGGUUGGAGAAAAUCCUAUUUCGAUUAUCAUUUUAGAGAGAAAUGGGAAUGAUCCAUUCCUUUUUAUAGCCGAAUCGGGCCUCACCUCAAGGGAGUCAAAAUCUCGUUCCACUAGAAUGAGAUUAAAAAAAAACUCAUCGGAUGUGGGAUGUGGGGUGCGAGCAUCGUGGCCAUGGGAGGGAAUGGAAGAGGGAGAGCAUGGGGAGGAGGUUGGAGGGGAUAUCAGCGGUGAUGAUGGAGGGGUGGCAGCAGACGAAGCGAUGGAGCUAGAAAAUGGAGAGGCCAGCAUGGCAGUGGAGAAAGUCAAGGAUGGCAUCAGGCUUCACCGAGGAGGUGAGUGGGGAGGUGGAACCAAGAGCAGAGAGGAGGCAUCGAUGUCGGAUGUGAGGGAAGAGGGUGGAGGAGCCGCAGACCACUAGAGGGUUUGGAGGGGUGGUGGUGGCUUAGAGGAGGCGCAGGCCACCAGGAGGGCGGCAUAGGGGAGCUGUGGACGACCAAGGGUUUGGGAGGGUGGGUCGGAGAAGGCGCUGGUCCCACGGGGGGUGGGGGUGGAGGACGGGGUGGCACAGAGAAGCAAAGGAGGCGUAAGGGCCCGAGGGGUGGUAGUGGUGGUUGGAGGAGUAGCGAGCCUCGGGUGGGGGUUGGGGGGGCACGGAGAAGCGGAGAAGGUGCGAGGGGGGCUGGGAUGUGGCACAGAGGAGAUGCAGGGGGUUGGGGGAAAGGGCGGGGGCAGCGUGGAGGAGUCGUGGUUCGUCCCGGCGAAGGUGUGGGGUUGGGCGCGGUGAUGCCAUGGGAAGAAGGAGAAAAAUGAAAGAAAAAAAUAAAUAAAUCGCCCCUCACCCUUUUAUCUUAUAAAAUAAUAAUAAUAAAUAAAUAAAAUAUUAUUUUUAAAAAAUAAUAUUUUUGAUUUUGAUUCUUUUAAAUGAAUCAAACAGCAAUAAUAAGGAUCAUUCAUUCUGAUUCCGAUUUCGGACACGAACCAAACGCUUCAAGAGAUUAGGCCAUUCCGAUUCUGAUUCCAAUCCAUUUCGAUUUCGAUUUCAAUUUUUAUUUCGAUUCCGAUCGCGAAUCAAACACACCCAUAGUACUUUGACUUACUAACAUUUGCAAAUUUUGGGGCCACCACUUAAUGUUGAAAAAUAUGUCCUAAAGUCAAUCGUUUGACGAUUGUGCUAAAUAUAAUUGUAUAUGAAUUGAUAAAUAAUAAAAGUUAUUUGGCCUUAUUCAUCACAAGGUUACAUCUUUUAAUGAACUUCUAUGAUGUAAUGAAGUUCUUAGAAUUAUUUUAAUCGAUAAAGAAAGAUUUAUCAUGUAAUCUUUAAAUUGAUUCACGACCAAAUGAUACGCUAUUACAAGGAUAAUAGCGAUAUCAAGUGUAGGUUGUUGUGUGUCAUAUGUGUUGUUGUUCUCGUAACCAAAUGGUAUGGAGAUAUUGGUAUGACAUAUAGGUAAGAUGUAGGAGUAUAUCAUCACGAAACGUGACCAACUACAGAAUACUCUGCUGUCAAGGGUAGCUCGCGAAGGGUAUGGGUAUAAGUGUCUCACCGAUCUGAGAUCACCACAGUGACUUGCAAGCAACUCACUGUACUUUGAUGUCAGACUAUUUGAAUUUAUAAUUCAGUGAUGAAAGAUUUUUAGAUACAGUCAAGUAUUUAUCAAGUCAGUGCAUGAGUCAAGAUGGGAUUGAUCCCUUCGAAUUAGUAGGAGUUAAUAUAUCAAUGUAUUUCAAUUUAGCAAAAUCAGAGCUCGAAUAAUCUAUGAGAUAAAUUUGAAAAAGAUUAAAAUAUAAUGUGGAUAACUUAUCUAGGAUUGACAGUUAAAUCCUAGGUCAUCCUCGUGUAUUAGGAUCAAAGAGAUGAAUUAUACGGUAACCAUAUGCCAAUAGGUUCUUGAAUGUUGCUUCACCUUCAUUCGAUCUAUCCGAACAUCGGGUCACCAUUACUAGAUGAUUACAUCGAUUAGUUCAGAAAGUUAUUUCUGUGUUACCGACUUAGGUUCGAACCUAUGGAGUCACACUCAAAAGAAAUUUCUGAUUGAUCAUGUGACUGAUCAACGAUUGAGAAUCGUUCAAGGGCUUAAUCGUCAAUUCGAUUGAUGGUUAAUCUUAUGCAAAAAUUAUAAUAAAUUAAUUCACAAGUGUUAGUAAAUUAAUGAAAGAUUAAUUAGCACUUAGAUUACUGAUUAGCUCAAUUUGAUUAAGCAAAAAAGAUUAAAUAAAAUUUAAUUGAAUUAGAUUUAAUUAGGUUUGAUCCGAUCAGGUUAUGAGAUGACCUAAUCGCUAAGGAAGAAUUAUCCCUGAUUUGAUCAGAACUUUGGUUCAAUAAAUUUUUAAUUUAAUUAAAAUUUGAUUAAAAAUUUAUGAAUCUAAUUAGAUUAAAUUUUAUCUAUUUUAUUUAGACAAAAUCAGAUAUGAUUUGGUUUGGAUUCAAAUAAGAAAAUAAAGAGUCCAUAUAGGAUUGAACCCUUCUCCCUUGCGCCAACCCACUUUGCAUGCCAUCUAUCUCUAUGCACAAAUAAUUUUUGUGAUAAGAUUUUUUUAUGCCAAAGAGUUUUUCUCCCUCUCUAUCUCACAUCUAAAUCUGAUUUAAUUUUGAUAAAAAGAAGAUUUUGAAACUAGAUUUCAAAAUAUUCCUUAUCAAGAGAGUCUGUUCUUAUUCAAAUCAAUCUUUCAAUGCCAACUUAUUUUUUCUCCUUAUAUGUAUGACAUUUUGAGCAGAUUUUUUGUGAAAAAUUAGUUGGAGAAUUGAUUUACUAUGAAAAAAUAUGAGAAGGGGCAUCCCAUAUUUUUUUGAUAUGUUUUGGCAUAAAUUUUUGAGUAGGGGCGACAACACAUCAAGAGUUCAUGAUCUCUAGGACUCUUCAUCCCACCUCCUUUCAUAUUGAAAUAAAAGGAGUUUUAUUUCAUUCUUAUACGUGUAAGGGACCUGAGAGAGAGGCCUUCAUGUUGAAAGGAGUUGGGCAUGGGUUCAUGGCGUGAAAAAGAAGAGGAGAGUCCUUCUUUUUGGGGUGUGCACAAAAUAUAUUUUCUAGGGUUUUAUACCUUUGGAUUUGGAAAGAGAGAAAAAAUAAGAGAAAAAUUAUUUUUUUCUCCAUCUUUUUUCAUCUCUUUAUCUUCUCUAGAAGUCUAUCUUUAACUUCUAGAAAAGUUUCAAAGAUUUGAAAAAAAGAUCCAGAUCGAUCAAGAAGAAGAUCUUCAUGCGAGCUAGCACUCCUAAGAAGAUCGAUCAGAUCGAGACUUCGAGUAAAUUUUCUGUAGAGGUCGGAUGCGUGUGUGGUUGUGAGCAACUAGCAAGGAUCUCCUUCAUCAUAUCUCUCAAUAGUGAUGAUCAUCGACCCAUACAAAGAUAUCAAGUUAUGAACUCAGAUUAGCAGUAGAUAUGAUCUACUGCUCACAUGCAUACAUGCUGAUUUUAUCUUCAGUAUUUUUCAAAUUUUAUAUGCAACAUAUCAUGUAAUAGAUCUUAGAAUAGAUUAAUUUAAUGAUUAGAUCAUAUGUAUGUUAGAUUAAUUUGAUUAAUCUAAAUAUCUUUUACUAUAAUUUAUUCAAAAAAUUUUAAAAUACAUGCAUAAAAUCGCCUACACAUCCCAACAGUGGUAUCAGAGCCUAAGUUCAUUAUAACAUGUUAUAUGUGCAUAUUAAAUCUUAAUUUUAAUUUUAUUUAGAUCUAUAUUUUAAUCUAAAUUUAAUUAAUAGUUGAUCGUGCAAACUGAUAUAAGAUUAUUCUGCUGUAGAGUUUAUCCCUUAUAAUGAAUAGGUUGUCCUAGUUUAUGCUGAUCAUUGAUAAAAUCUGAUUUUAUAUGUUACAUAUGAUAUUUAUGAUCUAAUUUAGAUAUGAUCUAAAAUUAUAAUCAGAUCUGAUGUAAUUUAGAUUAGAUCUAAAUUUAUGCAUAUAUAAUAUGUGAUUAGCUUAGAUGAUCCGAUUAGCAAAUACUUGGAUUGAGUUGAUCACCAGGCCGUUCGAUCAUAGGAGCAAGAAGAGUUUAAAGGCCUUUUCUUUCCAUUCGAUGGGGUGCUCUUAUGACGUAAAGGGGUGUCAUGUGAUUAAAUCUCAUAAAAAAGAAUGUGAAUGGAAGAACUUACUUUUCUACAAAAUUUUAAAUCUUGAAAUCCUAGAUUUAUUAUAUGUGAUACAAAGUUGUAUGAAAUGUAAGAUAUCUAAUCUAUAUGAUUAAAAUUAUUUUAAUCAUGAAAAAAUAAAAUCUCAAAUCAUAAAAAAAUUUAGAUAUGAUCUAAAAGGUGUUUAUGAUUGAUUUUAUUUUAGGAUUAUGCAAGAUUUUUGAAAUCUGAAAUGUGCUCGCACAAUCACUGAGUCGAUCCAGUUUUAAACUAAAUUGAUCUAGUCUCCUUAUGUAGCUGGCUCAAUAUUGAUUGAGUCGAUCCAAUUUCAGAAUAAAAAAUUUUUACAUAAAAUUUAUUGUAAAUUAUUUACAAUAUAAAAAAUUAAAAUUAUUUCAAACCUAAACCCAAACCCAUGUUGAUGCUGAAACUUAAUUAAGAAUUAAGUGAAAGAUCGAUUAGAUCUAGAAUUAUGAUUUAAGAUCUAAUGACAUUGCAUAAAAUAUGAGGGUAUGGGUUAGCUCAAAUCAUAUCCUUUUAAUUAGAUUAGAUCUAAGAUUGGAAUCAAAGAAUUAAUUGACUAUGUAAAAAAAAUUGAUUAAGUCUAAUCAAAUAUUGAAUUAGAUUAAUCAAAAUUUUUCUAAUACAAUAGUUGUAGAUGGUCAAGUCCAUGUCUUUAAUUAGACCAAAUGGAUCUUAAUUGUGGCUCAGUGGUUGAAUCCGAAUCAUUAAGUUGGUCAAAUCAAAACUAAUUAACCAAUUGAUAUCUAAGAUAAGUUUGGCAUUUCGAUCGAUAAUUUUUAAUUGGGAGUGACUUAUCUGACUAUUUCGAUGGUGUCUAAGGCAAGCUUAGGAGACCCUCCCACCGAUUUUACUUAUCUGGCUAAUUUGAUGAAUUAUAUUUUGAUUAGAUCGCUAAGUUAUUCGAGUUGACCCAUGCCAUUAAGGUUGAUCAGUGUGACUGAUCUAGGUGCCAGUUCAACUAGUAUGACUUUAAUCCAAUUCAAUAAUUUGGUGAAGUCAGUGGGAAGAUUAUGAUUUAUUGAUUGAUCUCUUCUCUUUUCUUGACUCAUAAAUUAAAUCUUCUAAAUUAUUAAGUCUCUAAAAUAAGCUAGUUAUGAGGAUAACUAGAUUAUAGCCUCUCAUUAAAGUGAAUGAUAAUGGAUCUAUUAUUUUUGAUUGACAUUGCAUGUGCCAUCCGUCUGAUGUUCUCUUUAAAUGAUAAAAUUAUCAUUCAUCAUACGAUGACUUUAUUAUACUAUCUGAUGAUGGUUGGAUUGAUCGAACCAUCCUCGGGCCUGAUCAUUCAUUGUUAGAAACACUGAGUAGGUUCAUGUUAAUGGUUUGACCUAACCAGAAUAUUCAGUGGAGACCCAUCACCUACUGAAAUAAAAUCUGAGGCAAAAUUAAUUACUAAAAAUUAUUUGAAGAAAUAAUUAGUUGAGAACUUAUCCAUAGGUGCAUAUGGAUUGAUCGAGCCAUCUUCGGAUCUGUAUGCAAUCUGUGUGGAUUCUAGUACUCACUAAAGAAUUAAGAUAAUUUUUAGAAUUGAAGGUAGAGGGUACUAAUUCGUAUAAAAUAGUGAAAGAAUUUUUAGACUAUAGUCCAAAUCUUUAAGCUUAAUCAAUUCAUAAACAUAGAGGUCUUGUGUUUUCCUUUCAGUUAUGACUAGAUAUCCGUUGCUCCAUUUACUAUUUGAUUGUGACUUAUUUAUAGGACUCAACUUUGAUAGAUAGUAUCAGAAGUUGUAAAUACUUUUAGAGCAUGAACGAAUCCUAAAUAUGAUUAUGGAUUCAGCACCUGAAGUUUUCACAUCCAACACAUAUGAUGUGAUCAAAGGCACUUAUUAGAAUUGGCCAAAUGAUCAUAUCAUCGUGUGAUAUUUUUGAGAGUAGCAAAAAAUCAUAAAUUUAGUUAUAAAUUCGAUGAUGCUCAGUGGGAGGAAAUUCUUCAAAAGUUGAAGGAGUUCUUUCAUAUUUCUGAAGAUAUGUCUUCAGUGGGGCAACAAUCCUUUGAGAAAGAAAAGAAAGGUGCCAGAGAGUCGUGCUUGGGCUGAUGAGCCCGAAUUAACAGAGGCUAAGAUUAACUUAGUCUGGCAGAGUCACUUGAUCAGAACAGCUUAAGAAAGAGAAAUCAGCAAAGGAUUGCUCGAUAAAAUAUUUAUAACACCUUGUGAUUUCUCUAUCUGUGACACUACUACCUGGAUAUUGGAUAUCGAAAGUCUAUACAAAUUGUUGCAAUAACUUCAGGUUAGUAGAAAGUUUGAAAACAAUAAAAAGUUUCUGAAUGUUGGAGAUGGAAGUUAUGUUCUAAUCUUGAUUUUAGGAAUCAUCGAGCUUAUUUUCAAUUCUAACAAUAUCAUUUUAGUGAUUGUUACUAUUGUAUAAUAAUUUUUAUGAUAUCAUUAUGAAUGAUGUUAAAAUCAUGUAGACAACUAAGAAAUGAUAUUUACGAAAGGUCACAGUCUGUUAGUGUAAUGUACACAUUUAUCAAACACCCUGAAGUAGAUUAUGUCACAAAUGCCUAUCUUUGGCAAUUUAGACUCGAUCAUUUAACAAGAAUAGGAUCAACAGGAGAUAAUUCUCAAAGUUAAUGAUUGUAGAUCAAUGUCAACCUGUCAAUCUUAUUUUUUUAGUAAAAUGAUCGAAUCACUUUUUGCUGAAAAAGAUAAACAAGCCAAUGAUGUUUUCAAUCUGAUACAUACUGAUGUAUUGAAUCUAUGAAUAUGUUUGUCAUAAAUUUAAAUUAUUUAAAAUAUUUAAAUAUUUUUUUAAUAAGAUAGAGAAACAAACUGAAAAGAGUAUUGAAACUCUUCGAUCAGACCAAAGAGGAGAAUACCCAUCUGAGGAGUUUUUGAUAUAUCUAGAAGAGAAUAGGAUUCUUUCUUAUUAGAAUUGACUUUGUUAGAUAUAAUUCGAUCCAUGAUGGAGUUUAUAAGUCUGUCAGUCUCUUUUUAAGAUUAUGAUCUUAAGACUGCUUAUUAUAUUCUGAACUGAAUUUUGAAUUAAUCAGUCACAAUGACUCUACAUGAGAUAUGGACUAGGCGUAAGCCGAUAUUCUCUUAUUUUAGGGUUUGAGAGUGCUUAGUUUAUAUCAAGCAAUUACAGACCAAUUAGCUUGGAUCUCGAAACUAUAUGUAUUUUUAUAGGAUAAUCCUAAAGAAUCCAGAGGAUAUAACUUUUACUAUGCUAAAGAACAAGAGUUGUUCAGCAUUUCUUUAAGAAAAGAAGUACCGUGGUGAAAGUACUGAUACCUUUAAUGUGAAACUUAUAAAAUUUGACAGAUAGAAGAACUGACACAAUUUAGUGAACCCAUAGAACUGAAUUUGAUUAGAUCAUAUCCGGAACCCAUUGCAGAGGUAUUAUUAAGGAGAUCCGAUAGAGUACCGCAUCCGUCGAAUAGAUACUUCAAUUUUUAAUUUCAAGACGUGAUCCUGUUGAACUCAAUGAGAACAACAAAGAUUUGAUCACCUACAUGGAUGCCAUGUAGAGGUCCGACUCUGAUUAGUGGCUUGAACCAUAAAGUCUGAAAUAGAGUCCAUUAAGGUCAAUGGUGUAUGGAUACUCAUUGAUCCACUUGAAGAGGUAAAACCCAUAGGAUGUAAGUGGAUCUUCAAUAGGAUCAGAGAGUGCAGAUGAGAAAGUGGAGACCUACAAAGCUCAUCAGGUUGUUUAAGGAUAUCGUCGACAUUAUGGUAUUGACCAUAACGAGAUAUUUUCUCCUGUGGUAAUGCUAAAUAUUUUGGAGUUAGAACAUGUAUUUUAAUAAGUGAUCAAAAUAUAUGGCUUCAUUGAGAACGAAGAAAAAUCCUGUAAAUACAAAUAGGUUAAUAGUUCUGUGAGUGUAUUUCUUGUUUUGUAUGAGAAUAAAAUUCUCUUAAUCAAAAAUGACAUUCCUUAUAUUACAGAGAAUAAAAAUUUUAUUAUUAUCAUAGUUCUUCAUAAAGGACUUGGGAAAAGGCACCUCUCAUCCUACGGAUGAAGAUCUAUAGAGAUAGAUCUAAGAGGCUGCUUGGAUUUUCCCAAUCCAACAUAUAUAGGGUGUUUAUGAAUAGAAUUUGUUCUAUCAUGUAUAUCAUGUAUGAGAUCGGAUAUGCUGUACUCACUAGAGUAGUGAGUAGAUAUCCACAAAAUUCGGAUGAGAAUCAUUGGAAGGUCAUCCUUAAGUAUUUGAGAAAUACUAAGGAUGGUGACUCGAUUAUGGAGAAUCUGACUUAAAAACUUAUAGAGUAUGACUUCAGUUUUUAGUUGGAUAUAAUAAUAGUAAGAAUAUGUCAGAAUAUAUCCUUACUCUAAAUAAUGAAGCAAUCUGCUGGAAAGGUUCUAAGUAGAGCAAUAUAGUCAAUUCAAAUUACGAGGCAGAAUACAUUGCAGCAUUCGAUGCUUGCAAGAAAGCUAUGUGAUUGUAUAGAUUUACUGACAAGCUAGAAGUGUUACCCUCCGAUGAUGGUCCUGCUGUAUUGUACAACACCGAAACCAUAGCUUAUGCCAAAGAAUCGAAGUUCCAUUAGCUUAUCAGGCAUUUUGUAUCGCUAUCAUCUUAUUCGAAAAAUCUGUUAAGGUGACGUCGAACUUUAGAAGAUUGACGAAAAGGAGAAUGUGACCAACCCAUUUACUAAAAUCUCGGUAUCUAAGAGUUUUGAGAUGAUAAAUCGAAUAUGGGCAUAUGAUACUAUACUGAUUGACUUUAGUUCAAGUGAGAGUUAUUGAAAAAUGUGUUCUAAAGCCAAUCGUUUGAUGAUUGUGCUAAAUAUAAUUAUAUAUGAAUUGAUAAAUAAUAAAAAUUAUUUGAUCUUAUUCAUCACAAGAUUACAUCUUCUAAUGAAUUUCUAUGCUAUGAUGAAGUCUUUAGGAUUACUUUGAUCGAUAAAGGAGGAUUUAUCGUGUAAUCCUUAAAUUAGUUCGUGAUCAAAUGAUAUGCUAUUACUAGGAUGAUAGCGAUAUCAAGUGUCGGUUGUUGUAUGCCAUAUGCGUUGGUUGUCCUUGUAACCAAAUGAUGUGGAGACACUGAUAUGGUAUGCAGGUGAGGUGUAGGAGUACAUCAUCACUGAACGUGAUCAACUGCAGAGCACUCUGUUGUCAAGGAUAGCUCGCGAAGGAUAUAGGUAUAAGUGUCCCUCCGACCUGAGAUCACUACGGUGACUUGCAAGUAACUCAUUGUACUUUAAUGUCAGAUUAUCUGAAUUUAUAAUUCAAUGAUAAAAAAAUUUUGGAUACAAUCAAGUACUUAUCAAAUCGGUGCGUGAGUCAAGAUGGGAUUGACCCCUCCAAAUUAGUAGUAGUUAAUGUAUCAAUGUAUUUCAAUUUAGCAAAAUCUGAACUCGGAUAAUCCAUGAGAUGGAUUUGAAAAAGAUUAAAAUAUAAUAUGGAUAACUUACCUAGGAUUGACAGUUAAAUCCUAGGUCAUCUUCGAGCAUUAGGGUCAAAGGGAUGAAUUAUACGAUAACCAUAUGCCNNNNNNNNNNNNNNNNNNNNNNNNNNNNNNNNNNNNNNNNNNNNNNNNNNNNNNNNNNNNNNNNNNNNNNNNNNNNNNNNNNNNNNNNNNNNNNNNNNNNNNNNNNNNNNNNNNNNNNNNNNNNNNNNNNNNNNNNNNNNNNNNNNNNNNNNNNNNNNNNNNNNNNNNNNNNNNNNNNNNNNNNNNNNNNNNNNNNNNNNNNNNNNNNNNNNNNNNNNNNNNNNNNNNNNNNNNNNNNNNNNNNNNNNNNNNNNNNNNNNNNNNNNNNNNNNNNNNNNNNNNNNNNNNNNNNNNNNNNNNNNNNNNNNNNNNNNNNNNNNNNNNNNNNNNNNNNNNNNNNNNNNNNNNNNNNNNNNNNNNNNNNNNNNNNNNNNNNNNNNNNNNNNNNNNNNNNNNNNNNNNNNNNNNNNNNNNNNNNNNNNNNNNNNNNNNNNNNNNNNNNNNNNNNNNNNNNNNNNNNNNNNNNNNNNNNNNNNNNNNNNNNNNNNNNNNNNNNNNNNNNNNNNNNNNNNNNNNNNNNNNNNNNNNNNNNNNNNNNNNNNNNNNNNNNNNNNNNNNNNNNNNNNNNNNNNNNNNNNNNNNNNNNNNNNNNNNNNNNNNNNNNNNNNNNNNNNNNNNNNNNNNNNNNNNNNNNNNNNNNNNNNNNNNNNNNNNNNNNNNNNNNNNNNNNNNNNNNNNNNNNNNNNNNNNNNNNNNNNNNNNNNNNNNNNNNNNNNNNNNNNAGAUGGACUUGAAAAAAGAUUAAAAUAUAAUAUGGAUAACUUACCUAGGAUUGACAGUUAAAUCCUAGGUCAUCUUCGAGCAUUAGGGUCAAAGGGAUGAAUUAUACGAUAACCAUAUGCCAGUAGGUUAUUGAAUGUUGCUUCGCCUUCAUUCGACCUAUCUAGACGUCGGAUCACCAUUGCUAGAUGAUUACAUCGAUUGGUUUAGAAAGUAUUCUUAUACUACUAGCUUAGAUUCGAACCUAUGGGGUCACACUCAAAAAAAAUUUCUGAUUGAUCAUGUGGCUGAUCAAUGAUUGAGAAUCAUUUAAGGGCUUAAUCAUCAAUUCGAUUGAUGAUUAAUCUUAUGUAAAAAUUAUAAUAAAUUAAUUCAUCAAGUAUUAAUAAAUUAAUAAAAGAUUAAUUAAUAAUAAAAUUAUUAAUUAGCUCAAUUUGAUUGAGUAAAGAGGAUUAAAUAAAAUCUAAUUGAAUUAUAUUCAAUUAGAUUUGAUCCGAUCAGGUUAUGAGAUGACCUAAUCGCUAAAGAAGAAUUAUCUCUGAUUUAAUCAAAAUUUUGGUUCAAUCAAUUUUUAAUUUAAUAAAAAAUUGAUUAAAAUUUUAUAAACCUAAUUAGAUCGAGUUUCAUCUAUUUAUUUGGGCUAAACCAGAUGUGAUUUGAUUUGGAUUCAAAUAAGAAAAUAAAGAGUCCAUAUAGGAUUGAACUCUUCUCCCUCAAGCCAACCCACUUUGCGUGCUAUCUAUCUCCACGCACAAAUAGUUUUUGUACAAGAUUUUUUUAUUCCAAAGAGUUCUUCUCCCUUCCUAUCUCACAUCUAAAUCUGAUUUGAUUUUGAUAAAAAGAAGAUUUUGAAAUUGGAUUUUAAAAUAUUCUUUAUCAAGAAAGUCUGUCCUUAUCUAAAUCAAUCUCUCCACACCAACUUAUUUUUUUCUCCUUAUAUAAGCAACAUUAAGAGGAAAUUUUUUUGAGAAAAAUUAAUUGGAGAACUAAUUUAUCAUAAAAAAAUAUAGGGAGAGGUGUUCCAUAUUUUUUUGGUAUAUUUUGGCAUGAAUUUUUUAGUAGGAGCGACAACACAUUAAGAGUCCAUGAUUUUUAGGACUCUUCAUCCCACCUCCUUUCAUAUUGAAAUAAAAGAAGUUUUAUUUCAUUCUUAUGCAUGUAAGAGACCUGAGAGAGAGGCCUUCACGUUGAAAGGAGUUGGGCAUGGGUUCAUGAUGUGAAAAAGAAGAGGAGAGUCCUUCUUCUUGGGGUAUGCAAAAUAUAUUUUCUAAGAUUUUAUACCUUUGGAUUUGGGAAGAGAGAAAAAAUAAGAAAAAAAUUAUUUUUUUCUCCAUCUUUCUUUCACCUUUUUAUCUCAUCUUGAAGUUCAUCUUCAAUCUCUGAAAAAAUUUUAAAGAUUUAAAAAAAGAUUCAGAUCAGUCAAAAAGAAGAUCUUCGCGUGAGCUAGCACUCUCAAGAAGAUUGAUUAGAUCGGGACUUCGAGUGGAUUUUUCAUAAAGAUCGGACGUAUAUGCAACUACGACCAACCAGCAAAGAUCUUUUUCACCAUAUCUCUAAGCAACGGCGAUUAUCAAUCCAUACAAAGAUAUCGAGUUUUGAACUCAGAUUAGCAGUAGAUGUGAUCUACUGCUCACAUGCAUGCAUGCUAAUUUUAUCUUCAAUAUUUUUUAAAUUUUAUAUAUAACAUAUCAUAUCAUAAAUUUUAGAAUAGAUUGAUUUAAUGAUUAGAUCAUAUACAUGUUAGAUUAAUUUGAUUAAUCUAAUUAUCUUUCACUAUAAUUUAUUCGAAAAAAUUUCGAAAUACAUGUAUGAAAUCACCGACGCAUCCCAACACUUAGCACAUAAUAAGGAUGACAAUUGGCAAGCUAGAAGACCUCUACAUGCCCCUUUAAUGUAUAGGAUAAAUGUUGAUUAAGCAUUAAAAUCCAAUUAUUUUUCAUUUAUUUUUUCAAGGACCACCAUUCAAUUUUUCAUUUUUCUCUAGUUAUUCAAAAUUAUUUUAAAUUGAAUCCACUCAAAUGCUAACUAAAUAGAACAUGUUUAAUAGGAUAGACUAAUCGAGAAUUUAAUAUUUUAGUAUAAUCUAUAUUAAAGAGAAAAAUUUUACCAAUCAAUGAGAUCUUUUCGAGUAAUAUUCAAGUCUAUGAUAAAAAUGGUUAAUAGCCAGCAACCAUAUUUACAAUGUUUUACUCCCUAUAGUAAUUAAAUGUUUUCAAAAAUAAUAUGAAUUUUUGCUAUGAAUUCAUAUUUUAAUCAAACUUUCUUCAUUCAAUGUUGAACCGUUAAAGCCCUUAUGGAUAGAUAUAAAUUGAAAAAAUUAAUUGAUUGAUUUAGCAUUAUAUUGAACCUUUUUGAAAGAAAAGAGAAUAAAAGUCCUAAACUACUGUUAAAGUCUUCAAAUUGGUUGAUAAGUUGAAGCAGUUAAUGAUCUUUCAGCAUAGCUAAUGUGAAAAAUAGCAUAGACAAUUAAAGUUGAAAUGAUGCCUCAUUUAUCGACAUAUGAAGCUAUACAAAGUAGAUAUGGGUAAUGGGUCGUGCGUGGCACAGUCCUUUUACAUAAAACCCUGGUCUGGCACGGCCCUAAGCCUAGGGGUGGUGGGUCGUGCCAGGCACGGCUCGUUGGCCUAUUAGGCCUGCAGGCCUAAUGAGCUAUUUUUUUUUAUUUUUUCAAAAAGGGCCCAUGCUAGGCAUGGUCCAUAGUAGGUACUUCCUUAGCAGCUAUUUUUUCACCCCCAAUGGCCAUUUUUUAUAUUUUUACAAUUUUAACCCCCCCAAUAACCAUAAAAUAGCUAGUUUUAGGGAUAUUUCGGGGAAGUGAAAAUAUUUGGAUUUCUAUAAAUACCCCAUCCUCUUCCAUUCUCACCACACCAAACUAGUUCUCCUCUCUUUCUUUACUACUACUUCUUCUUCUCUCUCUUAACAAUAUUUAAUUAGUAAUUAGCAAUUUAAUUUUUAGUUUGAUUAUAUAAAUGCUACACAAGAGGAGGAUUAGUUCAUCUAUUAGAGGUCCUUGUUGAGGUCUUGAGGAGCACAAGAGAAAGCUCACAAAUCUUCACAGCUCCACUCUGCCUCUACUCAAUUUUCUCUUAUGGUUGUGGUUAGUUUUUAUUAUUUGUAUUCAUCAUAUUUAGAUAUGGCAUCUUUUGAUGAGAGUUAUUUUGGCAUUCUCCCUAUUUUUGAGGAGAAAAAAACUAAUCUUCCUAAUCCUUACGAAACUAAUAGUGAAGGUCAAACCUCUUCCUAUAAGAGGAUUAGUGUUGUAUAGACUGAUUUUGAUAGAGUUAUAGUUGAUGGAGUCUUAAAAGUAAAAUAUAAAAAAUAUAUCAAGUUAUAUAGUUAUGCUAAUAGUAGGAGAAUUGGCCAUUUGAAGAGAUAUCAAGAGAGUCAUAGGAUGAGUGAUUCUCAUUUUCAAAAUAUCUUUAAUAUAUAAGAGGAUAAUCUUAUAGGUAAUUUUGUAUAUAACUAUGAAAAUCAAAGAAAAAUACUCGUAAAAUAGAUAGUUAAAGAUGAAUUAUCUUUUAGCUUAUGUAAGUUUUUUAAUUUUGAAGAGUAUAUUCAAUUGAUCCUACAACCUACUUACAGAAGAAUUAGUAGACAUACAUUAGAAGAGUAGCUAUAACUAAUUAUUCAGUAAUGAAACAAGAUUUGAUUGAAACUCUUACUACCCUAAAUACAAAAGUUGCGUUAACUUCUGAUAUUUGAUCAGUAUCUAUUAGUAGCAAUUAUUUUAUUAUUGUUAUUUCUCAUUACGUUGAUAAUGAUUGAUAAUUAAAUAAAUAUAUUUUUAUUUUUCAUGCUUUUGAUUUUUUACAUUCUAGAUAACAAAUCUCUAAUACUAUUUAUCAAACUACAUGUUCAUAUAGUAUUAAUAAUAAAAUUAUAUCUAUUAUUUUUGAUAAUAUAUCUAAUAAUAAUUCUGCUAUCGUAAUAUUGAAAGACUCAUGCAUCCCAUUCUAAAUAGAUAUUUGUUACAUAUUAGAUGUGCAUGUCAUUUUUUAAAUCUCUUUAUUUAAGCUGGCAUAGGUAUAAUUCACGAUGUCAUUACUAAAAUUACAAAUGUAGUUUCUUUUAUUCAUGCUUCAAGAGCAAAAAUUCAAGAAUUUAAGCAACUAUGUAUAGAUCAUGAUAAACGUUAAAAUUUAAACUUGAUGUAGUUACUCAUUGUAACUCAUUGUAACUCAAUAUAUACUAUGAUACAUAAUGCAUUAAUAUAUAAAAAAUUAUUAAGUGCAUAUAUUAAUGAGCAUAUAUUAGACUUUAUAUUGACUGAAAAUAAUUAGAACAAAGAUAAAAUUUUGAAAGAUUUUUUAAUUAGUUUUUAUAAUGCCACUAAUGCUCUUUUUGAUGUUUAUUAUCUAACAUCUUGUUCAUUUUCACAACAAGCAUAUAUCAUUAGCCAAAACUUUGUACAACAUAGAAUUGAUGAUAUUUUAAUAUCUAUUAUUGAAGAAAUAGAAUCUAAAUAGAAUAAGUAUUGGGAUAAGGUAUGUCCUAUGCAUAACUUAGCUACUGUAUUUGAUCCACAUGUUAAAUUGAGUGGUAUGCUGAUUUUAUUUGAUGCAUAUAAUGAAAACAUAUUUAAAGAUUCGAAACCCGCUAAAGUUGAAGUAACCUAAACUUUUUAUGAUAUUUAUGCUUUAUAUGAUGAAAAGAUUUAUGAAUCUAGAUUGCCCAUAUCAGCUUCACAAAGCUCAACUUCUUUUUCUAGUACUUCUUCUUCAUCAUUUAUUUUUUCUUUCAUUGUACAUAGCAAACAUACACAUACUUCAAGUUUACCUACAUCUUCAUCUUUAAGCAGUGAACUUGAAUUUUAUUUAUGAAAUGAUCUUCAAUCUAUAUAUGAUGAAAAUCAAAAAGAAAAUCUUGAUAUAUUAGCUUGAUGGAAGAGUGUUAAAAGUCAAUAUUCUAUUAUAUCUGUCAUUGUACGUGAUAUCUUAAUUGUGUCGAUGUCCACAAUAGCAUCAAAAUCUAUUUGUAGUGCAAGUCGAUGUAUUCUUGAUAAAAAAAGAAGUAGGAUGACAAGCGAUAUAAUUGAAAUGCUUGUCUGCUUUAAAUAUUGAUUGGAUACCGAAGAGAGACUUCAAGAUAAAAGUGGACAUGAUACAACAUUCGAUGAUGAUGACACAAAUACUACUGACGAUCAGUAAGAUUUUUAUCAUUUAUUUUUAAUUUUUAAUUUUUUAUAAUUAUAUUUUAUUAUUUUUUAAUUGUUGAAAUGAGUCACCUCUAUUUCUUUUCUCUCUCUCAUUGUAUUUUGGAGGUUAGACCUAGCCUCCCUCCCUCUCUUGUAUCAUUUUGAUUUUUAUUAAUAAAAAAAAUAUAGAUAAAUUAUUUUUUUAUCUAAAUAUUACUUAAAAAAUACUUAUCUAAAAAAAUAUAGUUUUCUGAAUAAAUUUUUUAUUCACAAAAGAACAGGCCCAUGGCCUCUUUUUUUGUGGAUAAAAGAUUUAUUCAGAAAACUAUAUUUUUUUGGAUAUGUAUUUUUCAAAUAAUAUUUAGAGAGGAAAAUAAUCUAUUCAUAAUCUUUUGUAUAUUGAAAAAUAGUUUGAGAAUUUGUUAUCUAUGUUCUUUUAUAUUAUUAUUUUUCUAGAUAAGUUGCUAUGAUCCAUCCAUAUUUUUUAUGAUAACUUUUAUUAUAUAAAUAUUAUUAUAUAUAAUAAUAUAAUAUAAUAUAUAAUAAUAAUAUAUUAUAUUAUCUUAGUAUAUAUUAUUAUAUAUAAAAUAUAUUAUAUUAUAUUUAUAUAUAUUAUUAUAUUAUUAUACUAUUAUAUUAUUAUAAUAUAUUAUUAUAUAUCAUAAUAUUAUAUUAUAUUGCUAUAUUAUUAUAUUAUAAUAUUACAAUAUAAAUAUUNNNNNNNNNNNNNNNNNNNNNNNNNNNNNNNNNNNNNNNNNNNNNNNNNNNNNNNNNNNNNNNNNNNNNNNNNNNNNNNNNUAUUAUAAUAUUACAAAUAUAAAAUAUUAAUAUAUUAUAAUAUUAUAUUAUAUUAAUAUCUUAUAUUAAUAAUAUAAUUUUAUUAUAUACAAUAAUAUAGUAUAAUAUAUUAUACAUAUUAAUCGAUCAAAUAUAUCAUAUUAUUAUAUUAUUAUGCAUUAUUAUAUGAUUAUAAAAUAUUAUAGUAUAUUAUAAUUUAUUAUAUCAUAUUAUUAUAUUAUUAUAUAUUAUAAUAUAUUAUUAUGUAAUAUAUUAUUAUAUUAUAUCAAUACACAUCAAAAUGUAUUAUACUAUCAUAUUAUUAUGGUAUUAUAUUUAUAAUAUAUUAUGUAAAUAUUAUAUUUUACUAUUUCAUAAUAUAUUAUAUUAUUUUAAUAUAUCAUAAUAAUAUAAUAUAUGAUAUUAUUAUAUUAUUAUAUAAAAUAUUAAUAUAUUAUAUUAUUUUAUUAUUAUAUAUUAUUAUUACAUUAUAUUAAUAUCUUAUAUUAAUAUAAUAUAAUAUAUAUGACAUAAUAUUAUUAUAUAUAAUAAUAUAGUAUAAUAUGUUAUAAAUAUUAAUAUUUAUUAUAUUAUAUUAUAUUAUUAUUAUAUAUUAUUAUAUUAUUAUAUUAUUAUAAUAUAUUAUAUAAAUAUUAUAUUAUUAUAAGGUUAAGGGUAUGUUAGGAAUGAAUUAAAAAGAUUAUUUUUUUGAUUAAUAAAAAAAUAAUUUAGCCACCCCUUGGGUAGAUAAGAUUUUUUUAUUUUAUGGAUAAAUGCUAUCUAUGAAAAAGUAACUUAUCCAUUUUGAAAAAUAUGAGAACAUGGGUAAGUUGGUCAUUGAAAAAGUUGAUCAAUUUUUUAUGAUAUUUACCUAUAAAAAAAUAAGCCCUAUGGNNNNNNNNNNNNNNNNNNNNAAUAUCAUAAAAAUUGAUCAACUUUUUUAUUGAUCAAUUUAUCCAUGUUCUCAUAUUUUUCAAGAUUGAUAAAUUAUUUUUUAUGGAUAGUAUUUAUCCAUGAAAUGAAAAAAAAAUUUACCUAGCUAGAUGUCUGGGAGUGAGGUGUUGAGAGAGUUGGAUGGUCUCAGUGUUGAAUUUUAGAAAGAUGAUCCAAUUAGUAGUAAGAAGAGGAAGCACCGAUCAAAGGCAGAUGACAUACACUUUAAUUGAAGAAAAAAAAGCAUAUUCUUUGACUUAUCAUAUUGGAAGACAAACUUAUUGCGCUACUUCUUAGAUGUCAUAUAUAUUGAAAAGAAUGUGUGUGAGCUCCUAUUGAUAAUGAUCUUGAACAUUAAGGAUAAGACCAAAGAUAACUUGAAUUUUCGGUUUGACUUACAAGAAUGGAGUAUUAGAAAAUCACUCCAUCCAGAGCCGGUAGGUAGAGAGCAGUGGAGGCUCUCUUAUGCAUGCAAUGUUAUGAAUAUCUUUGAAUGAUCUACAUUUCUUCAUAUGUUGGAGAACAUAAAGGUCUCAGAUGGGUACUCAACCAACAUAUCAAAGCAUAUAAAUAGUAAGGAUGUGAGACUUGAUGGAUUGAAGACUCAUGAUUACCAUAUGUUGGUGCAAUAGUUGAUCCCAAUAGCUAUUUAUUAUGUGUUGCCAAAAAAUAUGAGAAUGGCUAUUAUUCAUCUUUGCAACUUUUAUAGAGAUAUUUGUGUGAAAAGGUUACUUAAGAAAAAUAUGAAGAAAAUGAAGGUAAGGACGGUGACUAUAUUAUGUGAUCUGGAGAAGAUAUUUCCACCAUCAUUUUUUAUAAUAAUGAUGCAUCUUACCAUGCACCUUACAGGAGAAGUUGCACUUGGAGGCCUAGUAUUCUAUCGAUGGAUGUACCCCACCAAGAAGAAUAUUCAAAUGUUGAAAUCUUAUGUAAAAAAUAUGAAUCGCCCGAAGAGAUCCAUAGCAAAAGGUUAUUUGGAUCAAGAGUAUAUGGAUUUUUAUACGAUAUACUUAAACAAGCUCGAGACAUGUCAUAACCGAUCAAUGAGGAAUCAGGAUGAUCAAUAUGAGCCAAUUGAACCUGCAUUUGAGUCCAUUCCAUGGUCAGGUGGACUUCCCACUUCAUACUAUCUCAUUGAUUUGAGCCUUGAAGAAAGGAACAAGGUGCACUGCUACGUAUUAUUUAAUUAUGAUGUCAUUGAGCCAUACAUAAGGUGAGUCACUCAAUCUUAUUUAUUUCUCAUUACUUAGAAGAAAAUACCUCAUUACACCUAAAUUUAUUUCUUAUGCAACAAACAUAAGGAGGUUAUAAGAAUAAAAUACGGUACUCUAAGUAUACGAAAAAAAGAAAAAAUGCAUAGCAAAGAGUUCUCAGAGUGGUUCAAAGAUCAUGUAAGUGAGUAUAUAUUCCUGUCUUGUACAUCCUAUUUGAAUAUAUUUACUAAUUAGGUGUCAUCUUUUUAGGUGUGGAGAUUACCGUCUAUGAUGUGAGCCAUGAAGUGCGUACUCUUUCAAUGGGACAUAAUCGCACCGUGCGUGAGUACAAAACACUGAUCAUUAAUGGCUACAUGUUCAAUAUUCACAGUCGAGCCGUAAAUAUGGCAACACAAAAUAGUGGCGUGAUGUUGAGCGCCACCACUGGGUGUUAUGCUAGCUUGAGGGAUUCACAGCCUUGUACGGAGGAUCUGAACUAUUAUGGGGUUGUAGAGAAGAUGGUCAUCUUGGACUACUAUUCUAAAGGAAGGGUUGCAUUGAUGAAAUACGAUUGGUUUGAUACUUUAUCUCAGAUAGAGAUGAAGAUUAAUGAGUAUGGUUUUACUCUCAUCCACAUGUAAUGCCAUCUCUAUACUGAAGAACCGUAUAUACUUGCCUCCUAAGCUAGUCGAGUCUUUUAUGUUGGUGAUCCUUUAGAGCCUCAAUGGGGUGUUGUUGUGAGGAUGGUGUCUAGACAUAUCUUUGAUGAUAUCGAGGUUGAUGACGAUGUUGGACCAUGCAUAUAAAGUGUUCCUCUAGGAUAAAACUUAUGUAGUAUUGUCAAGAUCUCGGAUGCAUUUAUUAGGAGUGAUGGUGAUGUCCAUAUUAUAGAUGCCAAUAGGCGAUAAGUUCAACAUCUUGAUAUAAAUGUUAGUGUUUAUUUAUUAAUGCUCUACUAAUGUUAUUGUUUAAUAAUAUGUUAUAUUUGUUAAUGUUCAUUAACGUUGUAGGUCACGAUGGUAUCAAAACAUCAUCUAGCUUUCACUCCCGUCCCUCGACGGACUAUGCAGAGCUUGGCAUCUGAGCUGUUGCCGGCACAUACUUUAUCCACCUCCUCAUUGGCUUCAGCUUCGGCUUCACAGGCAUAUACUUCUCCCAUCGAUACAUCUGAGCCUCCACUGACAGCCACAUCGUCGGUCUAUGCAUCUCUAGCACAUACUUCAUCCAUCGAUGAGGCUCCACCGGCAUCCACAUUGCACGAUCCUAGUGAGAGUAGAUUUUUAUUGUAUUAAUUAAUUAUUUAUUUAUUAUAUAGUUAUUGUACACUCUUAUAUAUUCAUAAUAUAUUUUCAUUACAGGUGAAUCAUCCAAUAGAAUAUUUUGCGGUCCCACACAUAUGUCGUAUGUGUGGAACCACCAGCAUCAGGCAUGAUGGAGUACGAUCAUGAGGAGAGAACAGUAGGAGAGACCGCAUGGGAGAUGCAUUCCUUUUCGGUGUGCUUGUGAGGUGUUUCGACAUCAUUUUCGUACUACCCAUAGACUGACAAUUGAUGGAUGCUGGUUUCAAAGAUCGGGUGUGGAAAGAGAUUUGGAUAAGUGUAUCUUAAAUAUAUAUAUAUGCAUGUGAUAUGUUUAUACUUUUGAUUAGAAUAAUUUUAUAACUGACUUCUGAUAACUUUAUAAAGAAGAUGUAUGAUUUUUCAGAUCAUGAAAGGAUUUUAGAUGCCCGACUGCAAAAGAUUGAAGAGUUGUAUCGGAACUGUAAGGUCAAGCUCCACAAAGGGUGGCUAGAGCAUCGUAAGGACAUAGAGGAGGAGCUUGUUUCUUGGAUCCAAGACUGUCCCCUGAGUCAGUGGGACGAGAUGGUCAGGCAUUGGAGGAGUCAAGAGUUUUUGGUUUAAUUUGUAACUUGUGAAUUUUUCAUUAUACUAACAAUUGUAUUUGAUUUUAACUUAUGUGAUUUAAAUAUUUUUUAGGCUGCAUCUCGUCAGAAUUGGAAGAACCAAACUACUCAGAAGUACCCACACUCGGCCAUGAGUCUAUGGCCAGUCGUGUGCAUAGAGAGGUAAUGAAUUCUGACUCUUUAGUUUACAAGUUAUUGAAUUGUUAUUUUUGUGUGUUUCUAAUAAGCUGAUUAAUUAUUAUAGCUAAUGAGAGAGGGGGUGAUGUCCAGCCGUAGCACUAUCGAGUCGUACGGACAAGAAGGGCAGGCCAAUAAACAUCAUGAUUGAAAGAAUUUUUAUAAGUAAUAACUAGAGUAUGAUUAGUAUUAUAGUAUUUUUUAUGAGAUUUUAUUUGAAUUUACAAUUACAGGAGCAGUUAGAUGCGCUUGCGAGCUAGGACCCAGAUACCUCUGGCUCCCAUGACCAUCUGUCUCAGGUCUUAGGACCUUAGCACUCUAGGAGAAUUCAUUAUAGGCCCGGAUAUAGACUGAUGAGCUACUGAUCUGAGAUGAGCGUCUUCUCAUAUGCUUUCGGGAUUAUUAGUCGGGAGCAGCUUGAUGAGGCCUUGGCGCAGGCAGCUUAAGCUUAGAAGCACGCAUCUCAGCUAUAGAGCAUCAUGUCCGCUAUGGUGACACAGCUGUCUACUGAUCUUGGAGUAGAUUUUUUAAACAUUCAGGACAUAUUGGCUAGCAUUUCAGCUCCAGCCCCUCUAGCUCUUGCUACAGUCCCUCCCGCUCCUGCUACAGCCCCUCCUGGUCCUGCUUCAGUCCCUCCCGAUAAUGACGAAAUAUUUGGAGAGGAGGAUUUUGAUUUACAUGAUUUUUGAUAUAUUUUAUUUUUAUUUAAAAAAUAUUAUAAUAUAAUUUGAGUAAUACAAUUUGAGUAUUUGAGAAAUAUUGUACUUGUUAUUGAGUUUUAUGUGAAAUUUUUUGUUCUUACAAAUUUUAGUCUGAGUAAUUAUAUAUUGAAUUGCAUCUAUCAAAUAAAAAAAGGAUAAAAAAUGAUAAUUUUUUUUUUAUUGAUCAACAAGUUAUGGCAGCGGUUGCACAACUGCUGCAUACAAUCGCUGCUGUAGCUCUUUACCAACCGCUGUCAAAAUCUAUGGCAGCGGUUGACAAACCGCUAUCGUACAUCUAUAAAAGCGAUUGUAAAAUCAUUAUCAUAGUUUGAAAUAUGAUAACAAUUUUGUAACUGCUGCUAUAGAAGAUAUAACAGCGAUUUUGUAACCGCUGCUAUAGAAUUUAUAGUAGCAGUUGUAGAACCACUGCUAUAGAGGCUAUAGCAGCAGUUAGAUAAUCGCUGCUCUAGAUAACUAUAGCAGUAGUUAUCCAACCACUACUUUAAUCCAAUCACUACUAUAGCCAAUCUACAGUAGCGGUUGAAAAAUCAUUGCUUUAUAGUUUGUUAUAGCAGCGAUUGAGUAACCACUUCUAUACCCUAUAUAUGACAGCGGUUGCAGCAACCGCUGCCAUAGACCUACGACAACGGCGAUAGUGGCAGCAGUUACGGAACCGCUGCUGUAGGCUAUGACGGUAGUUUUUUUGGCUAUGGCAGUGAUUUUGCUACCGUAGGCCCUUUCUGUAGUAGUGACAUCUGCCACUUGAUUAGAUGAUUUGACAUAUAGAAGACAUAAUUCUCCAUUGUCUAUCUUUUUUCAGAUAAAAUGACGGUUAAUUUCUACAUGCUUAGUCCUAUCAUGUUGGAUGGGAUUGUUAGCAAUAUUGAUCACCGUCUUAUUGUCACAAUACGACUUCAUAAGAGACUCUACUAUAAUACCAAUGUCCUUUAGGAGAAUUCUUAUCCAUAGAAGUUCAGCAACCCCAUAGGCCAUAGCACGAUACUCAGCCUCUGCACUGAAGCGAGCACAUGUGGAUUGUUUCUUACUCCUUUAAGUUAACAAUUUUUUUCUAAAAAAUACACAAUAGCCUAUGGUAGAGCAUCUAUCGUCAACUGAUCCAACCCAAUCAGCAUCAGUAUAUCCUUCCAGAGUGAGAUGAUCAUUCUUCCUGUAUAUCAAUUCUUUUUCUGGUGAUCCCUUAAUAUACCUUAGAAUUCUAUCAACAGCUUUCAUAUGGGCAGUGGUAGGGGCACACAUGAAUUGGCUAACUACACUUACUGCAUAAGUGAUGUCAGGUCUUGUAAGGGUGAGAUAUAAGAGUUUACCUACAAGAUGUUGAUAUUGUUCCUUCUCUUCAUGACAGAGUUGAGUCCCAUUUAUGAUAGAUAAGUGAUGAUUAGUUUCUAUGGGAGUAUUGAUUGGCUUACUCCCAAGCUUCCCAGUUUCUCGAAGAAGAUUGAGAGCAUAUUUCCUCUGACACAAAUGGAUGCACCCAUUUGACCUUGCAACUUCUAUUCCCAAGAAGUACUUCAUAUGACCAAGGUCUUUAAUUUUAAAUUCAGAACUCAACAUGUCUUUCAAAAAUUAAAUUUCAACUUCAUUAUUUCCAAUGAUAAGCAUGUCAUCAACAUAAAUAAUUAGGACAACCACCUUAUUUUCAUUUCUCCUCACAAAGAGAGUAUAAUCAGCAUUACCUUGAGUAUAGUCAAAACUCUUCAUGACAAUCCACAAUCUAUCAAACCAAGCUCGGAGAGAUUGUUUCAGUCCAUACAAUAUUUUUCUUAGUCUACAAUAUUUUUCUUCAAUAUUAAAAUCCGAUGGUGGUUGCAUGUAAACCUCUUCCUUCAAAUCUCUAUUGAGGAAUGCAUUUUUGACGUCCAUCUAGUAUAAAUUCUAUGAGUAUUGAGUAGCAAUAGAUAGGAUCACUCAGACAAAUUUUUACUUUGCAACUAGAGCAAAUAUUUUCUUGUAGUCAAUACCGUAUGUUUGGGUGAAGCCUUUUGCAACAAGUCUCGCCUUAUAUCUUGCUAUAGUGCUAUUAGAGUUGUACUUGAUAGGAUACACCCAUUUAGAGCCCACCACAUGCUUUCCUGCAGGAAUAUCAAUAAUCUUCCAAGUAUUGUUGUUUUCAAGGGCUCUCAUUUCUUCUUCCAUAGCAUGAUUCUAUUUGGAGUCCUUUCUAGCCUCUGUAAAACAACUAGGAAUUGGGCAAGUAGAGAUAGUAGACAGGAAAGCAAGAUGUAAGGGUGAAACAUAAGCAUAGCUGACAUAUUGAUCAAUAGGAUACUUAGAAUGAGGAUGUUUAGUGCAUUCUCUAGAUGCUUUUCUCAAGGUAAUAGAUAUGCCAAGUUCAACAUUAAGAUUACCUUGAGUAGAGACAUCAGCUAUAGAUAGAAGAUAAGGAUCCUGCAACUCAGCAACCUCUAGAGAGUGGUUAGUAGUAUGGCCUUCUUCAUUAGUAGCCCCUAUAUCUCCUUCAUUCUCCUCUUGACCUUCAUCUCUAUGGAUAUCUCUAGAAGAAGUGGGAAUCGAAAUGGGAGCUCUCUUCCACCAUAUUAUGAAUCUCCCCUUGAAGAGAGUUCCCAUAAUGCACAAAUGAUUCAUGUUCAAAAAAUAUAAUAUUCUUAGUAACAAAUCUACGUCCAGUAGUAGGAUCAAGAUAGUUAUAAUCUUUCUGAGUAGGAGAGUACCCAAGAAAGAUUUCUGAGAUAGAAUGAGGGUCAAGUUUAGAUCUUUAUGGAUGAAACAAAGACACCCAAACACACCAAGAGAUAAAGAGAAAAUAGGUCUAUCAAGAUGCAAGAAAAGAUAAGAAAUUUUAUUACCAAGAGUAUGAGAAGGCAUACGAUUGAUGAUAUAUAUGACAGUAAGAAUGACAUCAACCCAGUACCUUUUUAGAAGAUUGUGGGUAAAUAAGAGCGUGCGAGCCAUAUCUAGUAGGUGAUGAUUUUUUUUUCAGCAAUGCCAUUUUGUUGAGUAGUAUAGGCACGUGAAGUUUUAUGGAGAAUACCUUCAUCUUGAAAAAAAGUAACAAGAGAAUGAGCAAAAUACUCUCGAGCAUUAUCAGAGCGAAAAACUUUGACUCUCUUUCCAAAUUGGGUCAGAAUCAUUUUGCAAAAGAUUUGAACAAUGUGAGCGAUUUCUUCUCUAGGCCUAAGUAAAUAUGUCAAGGUAUAAUAUGAGUAACUAUCAGUAAAUGUAACAUAAUAUUUGUGACCAUCUAAAGAUUCAACAGUUGUAGGUCCCCACACAUCAGAAUGAAUUAAGUCAAACAAGCCAGAAAUAUUAUGCAUAGAAUAUAGAAACAAAGCUCGACAAUGCUUAGAUAAUUGACAAACUUUGCAAUUUAAGAGUUCAUGACUAACCCUACAAAAUAAGUUGGAAAAAAGAAAAUGAAGUGAUGGAAAACUAAGAUGACCAAGAUGGCGGUGCCAAAGGUAGAUAUGCUCAAGUUUGGUGUCAACUUCAGGACCAGCUCUAGUGUGAAAAGCAGUAACUUGCUUGGACUAAAGGUAAUAAAGACGACCAAUCUUACGACCACUCCCAAUCAUUUGCCUCAUUUGCAGAUCUUGAAAGAUACAAUAAUGAGAAAAAAGGUCACGGCACAAUUAAGAUCUUCAGUAAUAGUACCAAUAGAAAGUAGGUUUAAAGACAUGUCAGGAACAUGAAGAGUAGAAUGAAGUGUAAGAUUAUCUAUUAACUGAACUACCUCCUUUCUAGCAAUUGUGGAUUGAGAGCCAUCAGCAACAGUAACUUUCUUUUGCCCCGAUCCAAAGAUGUAGGAAGAAAAAAGGCUAGAGUUAUCUGUCAUGUGGUUUAUGACACCGAAAUCUAACACCCAAGCUGGAGAGGAGGGAGAGGUAACAUUAAGAGCCAUACCACCUGUACUAUCACCAAAAGGAUUGUUCACAUAAGCCAUGGAAGCAUCAGGAGAUGUGGAUGCAUCUGAGAGAGAAUGUGCUGAAGACAAGCUAAGUCACCACUGGAGAGAUUCGCUAUCUCACUCUUUGUCCCUCUAUCUGGUUGAUUAGGAGUGAUCCCUCUGGCCACCACUGCAUUACUGCUUGUGGGUUGGCUUUUUUUGUUAUUUUUGAAUUUUGUAGUCUUUUUUUUAGGAUGAAACCCCCAGCAGAAGUCAACAGAAUGAUUCUUCCUACCAUAGUGGCUAUAAAUCUUGGUUCUCUUAGUAUUUUCGUGCCCUUUGCUAGGACGACCUCCCUUAGAAGUAGAAGUCAGAGCAGAGUGAUCUUCAAUCAGAGAAGUAGAAGGAGUCAUCAUCUUUUUUCGCACCUCUUCACCUAAAAUUUUGUAAUAAACUUGUUCAAGUGAAGGAAGAGAGUCGAGGCUAAGAAUCUAGCUCUUCAACUCCUCACAUUCGGAGUUCAAUCGGACUAAGAAUUUGAAGAUUUGAUUUCACUGCUCAUGGUCUUAGAACUUUUUCUGAUCAGCCGGACACGCCCAAUCAUCAAUAGUGUAGCAAUCAAGUUCUUUCCAUGCGAAGAGCACCAAAAUAGGCGGUAAUAGUCAAGCUCCCCUGCUGAAGCUGAUGAAUUUCGCAGAUCAGUUAAAAAAUACGAACAGUGUCCUGGUUAUGCCCAAACAUUUCUUCUAGAAGAACCCACAUCUCUCGAGCAGUCUUCUUUCGAAGGAUCAUUCUUUAAAUCUCUGCACUAAUUGAAUUAAUGAUCUAUGCCAUUACCAAAUUGUUCUCCAUCAACCAAGUAUUAUAUCGUGGAUCAGUUGUUGAGGGUUCGACAACUCAUCCAUUGAUGUAGCCGACCUUACCACGAUCUGCAAUAUACAUCUUGACAGUCGUUGACCACACUAUAUAAUUUGAUUCAGUCAAUUUUAUUGGGACAAUUGAGAGGUUAAUGCUAUCAUUACUCAUUGGAGUAUUGCUAGCCAGAGGUAUAUUAAUCACAGGAGAGUGCUCGAAUGAGUUCAAAGAGUCCGUAGUAGUCGACAUUGGAAGGCAAAUCACAAAUGUAAUCACAAAUAGAACACAAAUGGAAUCAGAUUUAGAUUUAGUAUCAGUAAUGAAGCUCAAUCAGAGAAUAAUUUCAUCUCCACUUGAAAGAACACGGAGUAAGAUGUUGUCGAUCGACCGAGACCUUCGAAGAGAUAGUAGAAUCUAAUAUCAAAAAGAAACUAAAGUAGAAUCGACGUAAGAAUCGACGUUGGUGGACUGCCACACGUCGAUCUUGAGGAAAAAAGAUGGAGCCGAUGGACUGCCGCACACCCGAGAAGGAAGCUAGAAGUCGGAGUUUGAUCAAAAGCAAGGAUCAACCUUGCUCUGAUACCAUGUAGAAAAAGAUAUUUGGAAAAAAAAAAAUUCUAUAUUUCUCAUUCUCUUUACCUUCAUGGAUACAAAUCUAUAAACACACAAAAAGAAAAGGCUACUAUAGUAGCAUAUCCAAACAUGUAUGGUAUAAAAAACAAAUAUGUUUAAAAAAUUAUAAGAAAAUAUGGUAAGCUUGACCCCUGUAAUCCUUAUAGUAAUAUGGCCAUAAUAGCCAUGAUCUCAUGAUUACAAAUCUGAUAUGACCAUAAGUCAUGUUCUCAAAUUCAAAAAAUCUGGCUUUUUAUUUCUUCUUUCUACACUUUGUAAUCUAUUGGAAAUUUAAUCCAAUAAUAAUUUCUUAAAACAUGCUGAUGAAAAUUUAAUCUAAGGAUGUGUUUGCAAUUCUAUCUUCCAUUAUAUAAAAGCAAGUUUUUAUCUUGAUUUAGAAUUUUCCUAAUUGUAGGAGUUUGAGUUAGAUUUACCAUCGUACUUGCCAAAGGACCUUCAUAUUGUUUUUUUGGUAAAGCAAAGGACCUUUAUAUUAACACCUCAAGAAAUUAGAAUAUACUAUAUAAUCCAUCCAAGUCUCUUUUACUUGUGACGAUGAUCAUGGUUCUUCAGAUUAGAUUAAUAUUGGUGAACUAUUCCUCAUAAAAUUUUGAAGGUUUUGCAAGUAUGAAAUGCCUUACAAUCCCGAUGACCUCAUGGUCUAGUACAAGGGAGUGGUAAGCCAUUUUACUCACUUUUGUUCUUCUUUUAUCUGUUUCCAUGAUUGCUGAGUUUACCUUCCCCCCAGAUAGUGAUCUCUAUUUUUGUUCUCUCAUGAUGUCAUCUAAAUGUAAAUUAGGAUAAAAAGAAAAUAACACAUAUAUUUUAUCUUGAUUUGCAAAUACUCCUUUGUAUCUCCACUUGUUAUAAUGUCAACUUUAUAUGUUUUAGUUUGUUGCAAUAUCUUCUAUUGACCGCUCAAUUUGAAAUAAAGCUUGCUGUUGGUGCCUAUAUGGCAAAAAUAGAUUACUUAAAAUACUGAGAUGGAUUUGUUGGAUUAUUUUAAAAUAUGAUGAAAUAUGAUAUGGACUUAAAAGAGAUAAAAAGAUCAAAAUAAACCAAGCUCUAACCUUAACCCCUUCACCUCCCCUAUCUAUUUUCCCUAAAUUGGCCAUACAACCCCAUCGACGACUGUCCGACCACUGUUGUUGUUGCCCCCAUCGCCUCGACUACUGCUGACUCGAUUUCUAUCAUUUUCUCCUCCUCUCUCUUUGUCUUCUUUUCUCUCUAUCCUUCUCAUUUCUUCUCCUUCUCUCUCUCUCUCUCUCUUCUCUCCUCUUCCUUCCCUUUUCUUUCAAAAACUUGGAUGAAAAAGACAAGAAGCACAAUUGAGAGUUUUUGGUUCUUACUUGAGGACAUCUUCGAGCAAUCUAUUGUAAUUUUUGGUCUAGUACUUAUCUUGGUAGGUGUUGGAGAUAAAGGAGAUGAGAUUGUUGAGUUGGAUUUCUCUGCUUUUUUUUUUUUGAUCUACGAGAAAGGUGAGGCUGGCAGUCACAGGAACAAUUAAGAGGUAGGAGGGGUGAAUGGGGGUGUUGGGGAGGGUGGGUGGAGAUAUAGAUGGCUAGGAUAUUUUAAAAAUAGCAAGCCACAUAAAAAGUAUAUAGGUCCGACUACAUAAAAGAAAAGCCAUUCCAUUUCGCAUAAACGUUCUCGUAUUUUUUUUAUAAGAGCUUCCACAUGUAAGCAAGUUUAUCAAUUUUUGUAUGGGCGCCCACAUAUUUUUUUUAAUGCAUAAAUUAUCUAGCCACUAUAUUUUUUUCUCUUUUAAAAAUUUAUCUCUAUGCUUUUGUAUGAUUUAUGUUUUUAAAAAAUAUUUUAGAAAAAAAAAGCCUCUUUAUCCUUUUUUUUGGGUGGACAUUUUUUCACAGCUUUAUAUGCUAAAUAAUUUAAUAUAUAAUUCGAUAUUUUUUAUUUUUAGGAAAGAAUAUAGUGACUUGACUGUUGAUUUCUACACAUAUUUUUGGAUAUAAGUAUAAAUUUAUAUUGAUAUUUUUAAGUUAAUUAGCCAAUCUAUUUUAUUGUUACAUAUAUUAAUCUUCUGAUUGAAGAUAUUAUUAUUGUGAAGGUUAUUGAAUGAUGCCAUAUAUAUAUUUAUUAUGAUUAUUUUAAUUUAAUUAAAAAUAAUAAUUUUUGUUAUUAAAUUAUUGUUUUAAUGACUUUUUGGUACAUAAUUGUUGAUUUAAUAAUUGAUUAAAAAUACUGUUAUCGAUUUUGUCAUAAUUUCACCAAAUGUUAAAUUAAUUGGUCCAUUCAUUUUGUUGUAGAUAUAUUAAAUUUAUAAUUGAAUCUAUUAUCAUUUGAACAUUGUUCACCAAUAGACAUGUAUAAAUUUCUGAAAUAGAAUUAUAUAUUAUAUCUUCUUUGAUUUAUAAAAAAAUUCAUAGCAUAUAUUUUCUUUUCUACAUUUUAGAUAGCUUCGAUGUGCAAUGCGGGUCCAAAACUAGCUUCCAAAAAGAUUGAGUUAGUUCUGCGUCUGACAUACAGUCAUUUAGUAACAUCCAAAUUAGCUGAACAAUAUGUCCUUCAUCACCUAAAGAGCGUGGGUCAAAGAGAUCAAGGAGUUAAUUACAUCCAUAUUUUUCAUAUCAUCGUCGAUUUGUAAAAUUUCAAUAAUAACAAUUUUAAUUUUAAGGUGACUAAAAUUUUUGAACAUGGUGAAUCCUAAUUGCCUUAUUUACAUAAAAGUUUGAAUGCCGAACCUUCUUCACUCUAAAUUCUAGAAGAAAAAGCUAUCUCGACUUUUGAAAAGCAUGUUCAAUCUGAGCUCUUGUAGGAAGAAACUCCAGCAAAAAAAAUUCUUCAAGCAAGUGAUAUAUUUCAAUCAAAAGCCUUUUCUUAUUAUAAUAAUCAUUUAUAUUAAUCAUAUAAAGGAAUAAUAAUAAAUAUUAUAUUAUUCCAGUCCUAUUUUCACACCAUCAUCACCUACGACUUUCCAUGACCUUCACGCUGGCCUAUUUCCAAUGCCGCUUGCAAAAGGGAAAAAUGUAAUAAAAAUGAUAAAUUUGCCACAAGUUAAGAAACAAUGGAAAUUAUUAAACUUUUAUGCAGUUGUAAAUUAGAGAGGCAAAAAUAAUUAAGAUAACAAAAAGAACACCAAGUAUAACAACAAAUAGCAUCAUCACUUAAAUUCUUCCAAAUUAAUGGGAAACCAAUCAUAAAAUCCAUGUGUAAGUCGAAUAAUUCUUGAUCAACUAAUCUAAAUCUUUGUUAUAUUGAAGAAUCAUUCAGCUAUAUAUAGUAUAUAUAUAUAUAUAUAUAUAUAUAUAUAUAUAGUANNNNNNNNNNNNNNNNNNNNAGAGAGAGAGAGAGAGACUUUGUUGUGUUUCUUAAUAAUUCAAGGCAUCAUUUAUUUGCCUAUCAAGGUCCACACAUACACACAACUUCAAUUUUGAUAAGUAGUCUUUUGGUCUGGCCCGAAAUAAUAAUGCUCUAGUUGAAAUCGGAUUGAAUACCAUCAUAUAUAUAUAUAUAUAUAUAUAUUAUCUGACAAAUAUAAAUAUGGGUAUGGAUAUUAUUUGAAUAUAAAAAUUCAUAUCCAUAUUUAUUUUUAAACAGAUAUAGAUAUCAUUUAGAUACUAUAAAUAUGGAUAUGAUUACAGAUAUUACUCAGAUAAUUAAAUUUUAUAUCUAUAAAAUUAAAAAUAUUAUUAAAUAGAUAAUAAAUUAAAUUAAUAAUUUAUUUAUAUAAUUAUAUAUUCUCUUAAAAAUUAAUAAGUUCUAUAUAGAAUUAUGUAGGUUACAUAUAGAUUUAGAUAUUUGAAUAUAGAUCAGAUAGUUGUUUAUUUAUAUCCAUAUUUAUUUAUUUUUUAUAAAUAUAGAUAUAAAAAUAAUUAUUAAUUGGAUUUUUAAAAUUUUAUACAUAUUUGAAUUAGUUUAAAUAUAAAAAUAAAUCUAUAUGGAUAAUAUCUAUCCCACUUUCACCUGUAAUUCUCGGCCCAGUCCAUUCCCAACAGCGGUAAGCGCAUGGAUGGUGACAAACAACCAGCUUAAAUAAAGGCCCGAAGCCCUUCAAGAGAAAGAACCCAGGCUCUCGACACUCCGCCCUGCCCCCAACCCCAACGCGCUUUUUCUCCCUCAUUCUAACGAAAAAAUAAAAAGAAAACCCAUCCAUCAGACGGUCCAGAUCACCCCAUCCCUUCCAUAUCCACACUUUUCACCCGUCUGAUCUUACCCUCGCGCCCUUCAUCACCGACCAACCCGUGCUUCCUCUUCCCUCCCUUCCCGCUUGCGAGCCCGAUGAUGCCGAGCUCCGAAGACGACCUCAGCCGCGAUCUCUACUCCAUCCCCAGCUCUUCCAGUUACCUUCAGAUAUCCUUCCUCUCUCUCCCCCCCUCUCUCUCAGGGUUAGGGUUAGGGUUUUUUCUGGUCUCGAUCUCAGGGUUCCUGGUCGUCUUUCUUGCUUGCAGGCUGGUUCCAAUGGGACGAGAUCCACGAGACGGAGCGGCGGGAGCUGCCGGAGUUCUUCGAUGGGAGUGCCGCCUCCCGGAACCUUAGGGUCUACAAGGAGUACCGCGACUUCAUCAUCAACAAGUUCCGGGAGGACCCCUCUCGUCGGCUGACCUUCACAGAGGUCCGGAAGUCGCUGAUCGGAGACGUUGGAACCCUUCACAAGGUGUUCCUUUUCUUGGAGAGAUGGGGGCUGAUCAAUUUCGGGAUUUCAGGUGGGCGGCCGCGGCAGCCGGAGGAGGUGGGGCCGCGGGUUGUGGUGGAGGAGGCGGGGGCUGGGGUGCAGGUGGUGCCAGCGUCCUCGAAAUUGGCUUCGGGGCGGUCGGCGGUGGCGGCGACGGCUGCUGGGGCUGGGGAGACUGGGUUCAGGUUGCCGCCGCUGUCGUCGUACUCGGAUGUGUUUGGGGACUGGGCGCCGGGGAAGGGCCCGGUGUGCGCGGUCUGCGGGAAUGAGGGUGUCUCUGGUCGACAUGAACCACUGAUCGAGGUGACACUCUUUGAACAUUUCUUCUUGUUCUGUUCUAAUUCGGAUGAGGAAGAGGAAAGAAAUCCAUGUUUUAGAUGUUUGAGUUUUGUUUGCUCAAAGAGUUUGCUAUGAAUUGUAUUGAACUGUCAGAAAUUUCUAGUAUCAAAGAAUAAGGUCAUGGUAGCAGUAUAGUUAUUAGACCAUCACAAAACUGAAGAGAUAUGGCACGGUUCUACAAGUUCCUGCAAAAGCUUCAAAAAUGUUGAUUUUGGUGAUAACUAAUGGGCUGUCACAUGCUGGCUUGAGUGUUGAAGCAAAAAGGCAUGUGCAUUAGGGGUUUUGCAUGCUGCAUUUCUAACGAAAAACCGAUGUCUGUGCAUUUAUUGAUAGCAUCCUCGCACUUGACUAUAUUAAUAGGUUGCCGUGGAAAGACAUGUAAUUGAGAUAAAGUGAACUGCAUGUGCAUGCAGAUGAUAUGCUCUUAGUUGUCACAUUUUAAUGAUUGGUAUGUGACUGUCUUACCAUUUUUUAUUAACAAUAUAACAUAUCCAUUCACAAUAUAUUCCAUAGCUGACUCAGUGCCCUAUCUACCAAAUCCACUUCAUUCAAUCCGGUAUAUAAUCCUUGUAAGGUAGUUUAUAUUCAUUCUUAAUAAUCUGUUCUUGAACAUAUUUGUACAUAUUGUUCACUUGAGAAUGCUCUAUUUGCAGCUGGGCGCCACUUUUUUCAAGAAUUCAUUUCUGCAUGGCAUGUAAAAGCAUAUCCCCAUAAAUAAUUGUACAUAAAGCUAUUUCAUACAUAGAAAAAAUAACAUAUAUGUCAAAUUACAAUGUUUUCAAGAAUUUUAAAUUGAAAAUGGUAUCCAAGUGUUGAAUGAAAAAGUUAAAUAAUCAGAAACAUUUCUGAUGAUUCUAUAGUAGUCAUCUUUAUCGAUAAGAUUCUUGAGAGGUCCUAGACAACUAUGGAUUGGACAGUAUCAGUAUUCUUUUUUCUUAAAAAGUAAAGUACUCCAUUUGAUUGACAGCUUUCACUCCUUUACAUAAAUUACCUCUUCACUUUCUUCAUCCUGCUAGGUCUAACUAGUGGCCAUAGCGAUUGUAAUUUUAGCAUGUUGCUUUAAAUUAAACGUGCUUUUGGUUUACUACACCAUCUUCCUUAGAGCCAUUUAAUGAUGCUAGCUUUAAGGCACCUAGUAUUGAAAAUUACCUGCAGUCUGCAAUCUGCAUCUUCUUGUUCUUUUGCUUUUCAAUUUUGUACAUUCUUCUUUGAAUUCGUCUUGUCUGCUCAUCCUUCUCUUGUGGUACUUGUAACUUUUUUUGGUACUUGUAAUGCAUUAUGUUUCCUGCAUCGGGUCACUUUCUCUUGUUCUUAAGGCUUUAUGCCGUUAACAAAAUUGCAAUAAUGCCCCUCUCUUUACCAUUAUGUACAGCUCAUAAAUAACUAAAAAGAAAAAGGCAAACUGGGUACUAUCUUGAAGUUCUUAUGAUUAGAAGCUUCGGAUUUGAUUAGCACCAAUAGGUUCCCAUCUGACAUUAGAUGUACUAUCACCCUUCUAGCAGCAAAAAUUCAAGUCAUACUAUAUGAUAUAAACUUGUUAUAUAAAGCUUAUAUGUAGAGAAAAUUUUGAGACAUUUAAUGCUGGCCUGUAUUAAAAUUGAAAUUUAUUUGAAUAUAGGUAUUUGCUUUGUGUUAAAGUAUUUGAUCACCAAAGAAGUAUAGAUUCCAGGUUCAAGUCUUUGAUGGUGUAUCCCCAAGAAUUCAGACCUUGGUAGAAUACCAUUUGUGAUCUGCCUCUAUCUCAAAAAGAGGAAAAAAGGAAAAAAAGAAAGGAACUAAUUUGGAACAUAAUAGGUAAAACUAAAAUUAUUAAAGGUUCCCAUCUAGGUAUGUAGGUUGCCUUGGCUAGGUGCUUGGAUUUCUCUAUUUUCUACACAUAUGCUGCUUUCAAGGGUUGUCAGUAAUGUGUCCACUCAACUGCUUGAGUGGGCACUAGGUUGAAACUAGAUCGGAUACGGAUUGGAUACUUGUAUGUCCAUAUCCAUAGUUGUUUUAUUUGACAAAUACAAAUAUGGAUACGGAUAUUAAUCGGGUGCAAAAAUUCAUAUCCAUAUUUAUUUUAAAUAGAUACGGAUACAAAUUGGAUACUGAAAGUAUGGAUAUAAAUACCGAUAUAAGUCGGAUAAUUAAACUUUAUAACCACUGAAUCAAAGCUAUUACUAAGUGGAUGAUAAAUCAAGUUAAUAGGAUAUUAAUGUGGUUAUAUAUUUCUCUUAAAAAGUUAAUAAGUAUUAUAUAAAAAUUAAAUAUGAUUACAAGUAGAAUCGGAUAUGGAUUGGAUUGUUAUCUAUCCAUAUCCAUAUCCAUUUUUCUUUGACGAAUAUGAAUAUGGAUACGGAUACUAGUUGGAUCCUUAAAUUUUUGUCCAUAUUUGAAUAUGUUCGGAUACAAAACUGGAUCCAGAUGGAUAAUAUCCGAUCCAUUUUCACCCCUAGUUGGCACCUAGGUAUGUGGUUGGGUGGCACAAGCUGCUUAGUGCUUAGGAAGUGAUUUGAUUGUUGCCCACUGUUUAGAUGCAAUUCGUUAAUUUUAAUAUAUAAAUAUAUAUGAUAAGAUAUUAUAGCUCUUUCUAUCAAAGUUGCACUUAAAGAGUAAGGCAUUUAUAGUGCAAAAUAAAAUUUACUAGAAUAUAUACAAUUAACUCAUGCAAAUGCACUCUUUCAUUGGUAAAUACACUCUUUUAAUGCUCUUGAAACAAUACUAUUGGUAGAGAAACAAGAGAAGAUAACUUGUAUCUGUGACCAUCCUGUCCAUGUUUCUCUAUUUGAAUAUUUGAUUUUGUUAAAAGAUGUUUUGGAUACCUUUUAUAUCCUUUUGGGAGCAUGGGUUUUGUUGUUCUGACAAAUGUUAAAUGUCGAAGUUUCAUAUUACCUUGUCUAUUGACUUUGUUAUCUUCUUUUUUUCUUUUUUGAUGGAACAAGUUUGUUAGCUUCUUAAAAACUAUAAAUUUUAAUGUUUAUAUGAAUAUUAUGAAUCUGUAUUAUUAUAUAAAGCAAACUAUUUGGUUGCUUGUCGAUCAUCAUCCAUGUUGGAUGAUCAAUGUAUCUUACAUGACUGCAUGUGAGAAGAAAUCUUAAAAGGGAAAUCAUGGCCCGAAGAGAGCUUUAGAAGUCUGUUGGCGGUAUAUGGAUAGCAUCCAUACCCACUUAGCUCCCAAGAGCUAGGCAAGUACUUGGGCAAGAAGCUAGAGGUCAAGGUGGUCCAAAAGUGAUAAAUUAAAACAACAUAAAUGGAGAGCCUAAAACAAUAGUUAUAAUCUAAUAAAUGAAGAUAACUUAUCAAUUAAGACAUAGUAAGUCGAUGGGAAUUGGGAAUUAUUGACUAGUUAACAUCCAAUACUAAUAGAUCGAUCAAUCUCAUCUAGCAUAUGCAAACUUGAUUCAAAAUGUUAAGACAAGUGUCUAGGCAGACCCUGUAGGCUAGAGAGAUUCCAAAUAAAGAGAAAUCUUUGAAAAGUUGCAUGUAGCAUGGACUGUGAGUGAUCUCCUUUAAUCCAAUUGUAAGGCCAAUGAUUUCCUUGAAUCCCAUCAUAAGUACAUUUUUCUAUAGUAAUUAUACAUUUACUAUUAAAUGAAUAGCUCCUAAGGAGUAAAUAAACUAAAAUAGGAAGUUUACUUAUCAAAUUUAUCUUGAUUGAUGGCAUCAUAUACAUCCAUCAAAUGUUCCUUUAGAUAAACCAUGUGCAUCACCUAUGUUAAGAUCUAAUUAAGGGAAUCGACGGACCAAGCUGUCUUGAAUGGCCUGAAAAUCUGACAUGGAGACAAACCAGGCUUGCUAGGCUUGGGCCUGGAAAUUGAGGCCCGAUCAAUUUUCAGGCCAAGACCGAGCUGAGAAUUGGUGAAAAUUAAGCAGGGAUCCAUUAUGGGCCUGGCUUGACCCUAAAGCAUAUCUUGAGUUAGGUUGUGCUUGGGCCUGACACUUUGCAUGAAAUUUAGGUUGGGCCUGUCUAGGCUCAGUUCUGAGGUUUAAACCUCAGAUUUGCUUUGGGCCGAGGACUGACCUGGCCCAUUUACACCCAUAGAUCUGAUUUUUAAAUAAUUUUAAUUCUAGAUGCCAUUUUUUUGUUUUGACAUUCCACCUGGGCCUUUAAGGGUGUCGGCACUUAGGACUGUGUAGGCUUUGAUAAUGUUGAGGCAGAUCUUCAGUCCUUGAUGAUGGUUAGCAUUUAAUGAUGCAAAGAUUUUGUUCUGUUUAUUUUAUUGGGCAGCAAGAAUAAAAUAUAUUGAUAACUCAGAAUAUAGGAAGCAGGUUUAGAUUGAUUGAUAAAGAGAGGAAAGAAAUGGAUAGCAGGGAAAAGAGGAAAGGAAAGAAUGAAUAAGGGAUAGUUUUGGUGAACUAUUAAACACAAAAAUAAGGGAUGAUUUCAUUUAUUAUGGUGUAAAUCUAAGACCCCUUGUUGUUCAGUUCUUCUUGUUUGCACUUGUUGGAGCAUUAAUCGGUACAAGAGUUCUGGAGAGACUUACAAGUUUCCUAUGUUGAAAAAGCUUGUAAGGCAUCAAUUUCAAGCCCUUAGCUUUUACAUGUAGGGCAUCUUUGGUAAGAAGAAAAUGCAACCAUGAGUUGCAAUUUUUCAGUGUGAAGGUUGAUUUGAGUUUUGUGGACAUGGUUGGUGGGGCGAAAGUCGCUUCCACCAAUCUUCAUUUCUUUCAACUUCUGGCAUUUGCUUCUGCAGUAGUCAAGUAGGCCCAAGUUAAAAUAGAUGAAAGUGCUUCUCAACUUCUCAACUCCCCUCCUCCCUCUUUUUGGAUAGGUGUGGGCAUGGGAGUUGGGGUGGGGUGUGUGUCUGUGUGUGUGUGUGCGUGUAUUUUUUUUUUUUGUGGGGGUGGGGGAGGGGGGUGGUUUGGUUAUAGCGGCGAUCCAUUCUGCGCAGUUUAAACGUCUUGAAUUGAAGACGGCAAUGAAGCUGAAACAUGUGACUGGAUGGAACCUCAAAGCAAGUUUACGAGCAGUUCUUGCAUGAAUAACAAACCUUGGGUAUCUUCAUCAUUACUUGUUAAAGUUGAAUGUAUUUCACUGGAAGAAGUACCAAUUUUGAUCAUGUCCUUGUGGAGGCUGGAGAAAAUUCAUAUGUAGAUUACACCCUACAGUUGUUUCCCAUGGAGUAACAUUGCUCAUUGCCAUCAAUUCUUGCACUACUUUUGCUUUGACUUAAUAACUUCAUUUUUAUCUUUUAAAAAGAUUAGAUGUAAUGACUUUCUAUCCUCACUUUCUCCUGCAAGUAUAUACUCUGCUGCUUGUUUGGAUUUGGUAUACUUGACUUUGUGAUAUAAAUUUAACCAAUACAACAUUGUUACAUAGUAAGUCAUCUUCAACUCUGCAUUUUGUAAGCUUUUAUUAGUAAAAGUAGUUAAUUAAACUGCUAAUAAGGUGGAAGAACUAAAAUAUUUUUGUGUUUAAGAACUUGAACUUCUACUUGGUGUUGUCAUGUUAGUGUAAGAUCUUUCAUGGUCCUAUAAGGGCUGCCAUGUGAAAGUUAUAUUGAUAUGUGAUUAUGAUUUUCGGUUAAUGUGUCUGCAGGGUGGUUUUGUGGUAUGUUUGAAAUGUUCGAAAAAUAGGAAUGACAUUGAAGGAAAAUCAGCAGAUGACAAUAGUGGUCAUGCUGAUGGCAAUGCUAACCAUGCAACUGGCGCAUGGACAGAUGCAGAGACCUUACUUCUUUUAGAAGCUGUUCUGAAGCAUGGAGAUGAUUGGGAUCUUAUUGCCCAGCAUGUGCGAACAAAGAGCAGAAUUGAUUGUAUUGCAAGGCUUAUACAGCUACCUUUUGGUGACCAUAUGUUGGGCACCUUCAGUGGUAAAUAUGAUGCUAAAAACUCAGGCAACCAACCAACCAAUUCUAAAGCAAUCCAACAUGCUUCUAGUGAGCUACUGCCAGAGCCUAAGACAGAUGGUCAUGGGCAUGAUGAUGUGAAGGAGAAGGUUGCAGAAGAAUCUACUCCAGUACAUCCUUUGAAGAGAAGACAUAUUCCAUCUAUUGCAAACGCUACGGAUUCUUUGAUGAAACAGGUAGCUACUCGCUGCUGAUCACUUUUCUAAUCUCAAUCUGCUGAAUUACAAAAGGAAAACCGAACCAAUGUUGUAUAAACAAAACCCAAAGAAACCUAAUUUCUCUGUUAGGUAGCUCUCUUGUCUACAGCAGCAGGCCCACAUGUUGCAGCAGCUGCAGCAGAGGCAGCUGUUAAAGCAUUGUGCAAUGAGAAACCAUGUGCGUGGAAGGUCUUCGAUAUUGAUGAAGAUGAAUCUAGAAAAAAGCUUAAAUCAUUCCCAACUAAAAAUGAGCCCAAGAGGUUAGCAAGCAUUAAUGCAGUUCUUUUGGUGUUUCAGCGUUAAUGAAAAAUGUGUGUACUGUUCCUUUGCUGUGCUUACUGUAAUGCAACUAUUUCAGUGCUGUCAAGGUUGAGGAUCAGGAGGUGGAGAUGGAUAAACAAACAGGUAUUUAGUUGUUUUUGCUAUAUAGCAUUCUUGUUUUGUAUAUUAAACUGUUUUGAAUUGUUCUUGUCAGUGAUAGCUGAGUUGCAGCAGAUGUAUUUAAUUGUCUUCAUAUAAGAUAUUUAAUUGUUGUCAUAUGAGAUAUUUUUGGAGAUAGAGUCAUUUACAUACUUGUUCUGAAUGUUGAAUUGUUGUGGGUUCUUUUGUGAAGUAAUAGAUGAGAUGCAUAUACAAGCAGGUAUUUGAUCAUGUCUCAUUGUUGACGUAUUUUGAACAUAGAAUUGCCUGUUCAGUAUAUUGGAUUUUUUCAGAUUCUUCAUCAAGUAAUAGAUACUGAUUAUCUUGUCGUUAUCAUGCAAGGAAGUGUGAGCUAGGAAUUGAUAAGCAUGUUAAAUAGGUGUCACUUAAACAGCAUAUUUUCAUUUUUUAUGUUCAUUUUGGGUUUAUAUUAACCAUAGAAUCUAUUAAAGAAGAUGAUUUUGGUCUAGGCAUAUUUUUAUAGGUAUCUUAUAUAAUUUGAAGUGUCCAAAUUGUGUUUCUACUUUGCCAUGUUGAAAGAAUAGUUUUUCCUUAGUGAUUAGGAUAGUUCUCUAUAACAGACUAUUCCUUCUUCACUUAUUAUCUUAACUUAUUCCUAAUCUUGGUGAAUCAUGAUUGAUUGCUCAAUGCUGCAUGAGCCUGAAUGCUGUAGCAUAUAACAUGGGCUGUCAUUGAUACUGAUUAGUCUUUGAAGUUAUAUAGGAAGCUGCUUCUUCCCUCAAGUUGCCUUGAAUAAGAAUGCAACACCUACAAAGGGUUGACGCUGGAUUCAGAGUCAGUCAAGUAACUAAACUUUUAUCUAUAAAGCAAAUUUGUGUGACGGGAUAAUCCUUACAGGUUUAAGUGUAGAUUGAGAUUAUUAUAGCUAAGAUAUUCAGUUGAAGACCAUUGGGAACAUCUGUUUCGACAUGGGGCUAAAAGUAAUGGAGAUGAAGGACUCUUUCUCUUUAUCAAGCUCCAAAUGAGAUUUUUCAAGGUUGGGAUUUUCGUAGGUCCAUUUCCUCUAGGACCUUUCUUAAACACAUCAUAGACAAUUGGGAAUGAACACAUCCUCUGGUUUAUGCAUGGGAUGAGUUAGCUCUCUCAAGGACUACUUUCUUUUGCAAGAAAGCAAGGGAGUUUACUAACUUAAGAGUACUAAAAAGAAUCAAAUACAUUAAGAGUACUAAAAAGAAUCAAAUAUGUAUAUAUGACAUGCUCAAACAUUGUGAUAAAUGAAAAAAAAAAAUCUAGAAUCAGUUUCUUGAUUUAGCUAGCAUGUGUAGGGCUUUCCUGACAGCCUUUUUGGGUAGUUCCAGAUAGUUUCAUAGUUUGGAGAAUCGGAGAUAAAUGAAGGUAAGAAUAUUUAGAGUGGGGCUUGCUUCAUAUGGUUAUUCAGAUAACCAUUGUUUGGCAUAUGUGCUAGCAUAAUAGGAAAGUUUCCCAUAAAGAAAAAGGUAAAAUAUAAAAAUUGAUAGGUUUUAGAAGCUAGGAGGAUAUGUUUUCCUGAUCUUGCACUAAUGAUGCCAGCUUGUUCACUGGAACAUGGUGAAACUUAAGCCUCUCAUGGAGGUUUGAUUCUUUAUGUCCAAGAAGUUAAAUUUGAUUGCUCAAUAGGAAAUCUUGCCCUUUUAAAAUUUGAAGGGGCUUUUUGGGUACUCAGGAAAUUAUUCAAAAUUCAGUGGAAGUUUCAAGGAUUAAUUAGGUACUGAUUGGCUGAUAAGAUCUUUCAGGUGUCAGCUUCUUUUAACUAAACUACGGUGGAAGGAGGAACCAGGGAAGUGAGGGAUAGGUGGGGAGGCUGAUUGGAUCAUAACUUAUCUUUAUGUUUCUAGGAUAAGGUAAAUCAUCCCAGAUUCUAAUGGCUCCUCCCACUCCUCUCACUAGGAUUUCAGCAUAUUUCAAACUAAAACUCCCCGGAAGAUCUUAUUGGGUGGAUAAGAUCUUCCAGCUUCCAAACAGACACUACAUGCUUCCAUUAUUAAGGGUCUUAGUGCAUGGUCUGUCAAAUUUAGCUUUUCCACAGGUUAAUACCAUACAUCUUUACUAUGUUGUUGCGACUUAAAGGGCCUUUAUGUCCAAUAUGUUUUGAUGGCCUUGUGAGAAGUAGAUUACUUUGUUUUAAAUAUCCCUGUUAGAAAGGUAGGUAGAGUCAAAUUAAUGGCCACAAGCCAUUAUUGGUAAUAUUCCAUUUGUUACAUGAGAUGCACAUGAUUAGUUUUAUGGAUGGUUAUGAUGCCGUAACAUGUUGGGUGUACCUAAGUGAAAGGAGUUUUCGAUAGAUUGCUGUGAUUACUUGUUUUAUCAUCAUGGUUUUCAUUUCUGAGCAAUGACAUGAUUAUAUAGACAUUAUGACCCUGUCACAUGUGAUUAAUAUUUUAGAUGGUGAGCCUUUUGAUGCAAUAAUAUGGCUGCUCCAUUGUGACCUAUGGGGUGUCAUGGGUUUGAAACAUAGAAACAGCCUCUUUGCAUUCGGAGGUAAGGCUGCAUACACUUGACCCUCCCCAGACCCCAUAGUGUUGGGAGCCUUGUGCACUAAGCCUCCCUUCUUUACAUGCGAUGCAUACUUAAAUUCAAAUAUAUGGUGAAGAAUUGGUACACCAAACAAUGAGCUUCUAUUAUGAUUUAAUCAGAUAUAUAUUUGGUUUGAUAUAUUUCUCAGAUUGUAAUUAAGAGAGACAGGUUAGUGGAAUAAAAGAUAAGGAUACAUAUUAAUCUCCAAUGUUCAAAAAGGAGAAAUUGAACAGAUGAAUUGAGGGUAAAAAUGGAAGAGGAAAAGAAGAGCACACCCUAAUCGAAGAUGGAUAGUGUGCUAAAUGCAUGGAUUUUCUUAUGUAGUAGUAUAGAUCUUAGGACGUGCAUGCAUUAUAUACAUAUAGAUGGAUAGAUGAAUAUGAAUUGGACGACACAUUUGUUAAGUUUUUGAUUAUGAUGUUCACAUUUUGAGCCUUCUAUGUGCAUUUCAGAUUGGUCUUGGUCAACCAAAAAGAAAAGGGUGUCUACAGGUUGAUAUCCUUGUGAAUGAUGGUUACAUGUUAUAAAAUUGUUGGUUACCACUCUAAUAGCUGAUGUAGUUAUUUAGGUUAAAGUAUAUCCAUGAACUGAACUUUUUAACCCUAAAGAUCAGAAUGACUCCACCCCCCACCCUCUCUCGACUGUCUCCUACUCCUUUUCCUGUCAUAAGUUUUCAUGUCCUUGUUAAUAUUGGCUCUUUUCUUUAUGUUUGCAUGCCUAUUCUAGUCACAAAUCGCAUCCUCUACCUCAUCGACUGCUUGUGUUCACAUCCCUGGCUCCUUUCAUAAGGCGCUUCUCAUAGCUGAAAGAACUUGGCAAAUUUUAUUAUUUUGCAGGCUUUUUGAAGGUGCCACCUGUACCAAAUAGAUAGUGAAACUCUUUCUGUUAGGGAGUAGUUUUUUUUUUUUAAAAAAAAAAAACAUUGUAUGAUUGAUGUUUUGCUGUUUUGGGGCAUAGAUUCCUGAUUUUUCUAGGUCAUGAGUGAAUUUCGUAUUGGUACAAAUGAAGCCAGUUUGCAUACAUUCUUUUUUUUUUUUUUUCAGUGUAAUGUAAGAAGAGAAGCAUGUUAAGAAUCCUAUACGAAGCUUUAUUAACUUGGUGCCAAACUCCUUAAUGUUUCUAAAUUUUCUUUUACAUGUCUUGAUGAGUUCAUACCAUUUGAUCAACAAACUCUCUAUGAAACAAAAUAAAUAUCACAAUAGAAUUGUAUGGAUCUGUAAAAGUCAUCUUGCCCCAAGCAAAUCCAAUUUGUUUUAAAAGAGGGAAUUUGAAAUAUCAUAUCCAAACUCAAACAGAUGAACCAUCAAAAUAAACAACUGCGAUUUUUCAUGAAUAUUUUGGGGAGGUAUUAUCUUAGUGGAUUGGUUAGCUGAAUAUUUUGUCCGUUUAUGAAUGUAGUAUUCUGGCAUUCACAAGCUUCGUCAGAGCUUGCAGCUAGUUCCAAAGAUACAUCCGCCUUCACUCGUGUGUGUGUGUGUGUGUGUGUGUGGAUAUAUAAAGAGAAGGGUUCAAAAUUCUUCUAUCUUCCUAAAAUCGUAGUCACUCUUCGUUGAUAGAAUAAUCAGUGCAUGUAUGUCAUAAGGUUAAUGAAUUGACUUUAGCUUUGCUAUAUCCUAAACCAUUGAAGUUCCACUGUUUCUAUGAAAAGUAGUGUUGCUAACCUAUAUAAGAUGCCGAGUUGUAUGUAAGUGGAAUGAUUGCUUCAGCUUUUCCAUGAUCCAUGUUGAAAGAUUUUUCUGCUGCUAUGGCACCAGAUAUGUUAGGCAUCUCACAUGCGAGUCCCUUUCUUCCUUAGAUGCUCCAGAACUGCCACAGAAGAAUUUUAGUGCUACAGCAUUUCAAACUAAAGCUGCCAUUGCGACAGCUCUUGGGGCAGCAGCUGCCCGUGCCAAGCUACUAGCGGACCAGGAAGAGAGGGAAAUGGAACUUUUGAUGGCAUCGAUUAUUGAAGCACAGGUUUCUCUCUCAUUUCUUAACUUCAUGCUCAGUCUCUGUCUGGAGAAUAUAACCUGAUUUUGUUUGAUGAUAAAUCAACAUCUCUGGAUACACAAGUUGGACAAGUAAUUUCUGUUAUCAUAAAAUAUCAUCUGAUCUGUUUUCCGGGCUUCUUCCAAGAUUCCAGCCUCCCUCGUGGGUUUUGGAACCUACCAACCUAUGAAAACAAAUUAGCUUAAUUUUGCAUCAAGGUGUUCCAUUUGACAAUAUGCAUUCUAGCCUUUUCAGAAAAUAGCAAGUUUAGUUGUCAUAAAGGGAUGCAUGCUUGAAAAAAUUGUGAGGAUGAUCCAUUCUCUUGAAACUCUCUCUUCUUUAACAGCCAAAUAUCUCCUCAAUCUUAUCAUAAUUUCAGGACUUUGGAGUUCAACUGGCAGCCAGUCACUCUGGAUGCAGCCUUAAAAUUAAGCUGGAUUUAGAAAAAUUUUGAUCCUUGCCUCCUUUUUGUCUUGAUGUCUUUUUAACAGAUGAGAAAGAUUCAAUAUAAAAUCAAGCAUUUCAAGGAGCUGGAGUUCAUUAUGGAGAAGGAAUACACCCUAAUGCAGCAGAUGAAGGAAUCUCUUCUUGACAAGUGGGUAGAGGUCAUUCAGCAGAUAUUUCAGGCUGGGAUUCCAAGAUGGAAGGACCAUGCUUUCCCCAAAUCUUUGUGGAACAAUGGUUCCUAACUUAGGGAGCCCUUGUUUUCUUAUCCUUGAUUCCUGAUUCUGGUUUCUUUCCUACUGUCAUGUAUGCAGCUUUAAAGAAAGCACCCUGGGUAAUUUUUUAAUACAAAAUUUGGACAACUUCAUACCUCCAUACAGGUUAAAUAAGCGUUCAUUAAUACCACAUGAUCUGUGUAGUUUUAUGGGUGUCCUUUUACCGUUGGGAUUUAGCACUUGUUUCCUUGUUUUCGCUAAGCAACCAUGGAUAACGUUGGCAAAGCUUUUCACCAGUUGCACCUGGGACCUUUUACCUCUGAUUUCUAAACUCCUUUUUAAAUCGUGUUUUAAACUUAGACGGUCUAUUUGGGGGAUUCCAUGUUGGAAUCUUUUUGUUUAUUGAGGAAAUGUUUGGAGAGAACGUUGACCCGUCGACUUCUGACUGUUGACAUGUCAUGUGUCAUUUCUUUGCAAGGAUACGAGCAUUCGAUCACGCGGUUGGCCAACUCUCUCUCUCUCUCUCUCCCCUCCAAGAAGUCAAUGGCUCGUGGUUUUUCUUAGUGAUGAGGAAGCUUGGUUGGCUACGGCUGUGACCACAGAUGUCAGACUUUUAAUCCAGGGGAUGGGGGCAAGGUGGCUAGUUUGCGGGGCAUCUAUUGGGGAAAAAGAAAUUAUAUGGUGAAAAAAAAAAUGAUUAAGUGUAUCUUGGGCUUUUCGGAAAGUUCUUGGCAUGUUGAAAAUUUGUUCUAAAAGUGAUGUCAGAGAUUUUUGACUUUUAGUUUUGUUAGAUUUGGAGAAUCUAAUUCUCCCUGGGCAGGCUGGAUGCUUUGAAUUUGCUAUGCUCGAAAAUGCUGUGUUAUAAAUCUAUUUACAAAAUUUAAAGUGAAAAUUCAACAUAACACUUAUAACGAACAUUUCAUUGGCAGUCUACAUCGGCCUAAAUAGUUGGAAGGUUCAUGAAGAGUUUCCUAAUUGGAACCUUAUGUGAAAGAAGAAUACAGUGAACAUGGAUGACUGUUGAUUUGAAUUUUCACUUUAUAUUAAUCUACUAUGAAGUUUCAAUGAAAACGAAAGAAAACGAAUAACUAAUGAUGAAAGAGGUAUUGUAGAAUAAAAAAAAAAGAAGAUGACAUCAAGCAUGCAAGUAUGCUUAUUUAUUAUAAGCCUACUUGGGUCAAGAUUAUUUUUAAGGGGGAGCAUAUAUUUAGUUUUUUGCCUUAAUUGAUGCAAUAUCACUAUCUUAAACUCACAGAGACCACCUUAAAUGCUUCAUAAACCAGAAAAAGGCUCUUCAAAUAGGGUGUGUAGCCCACAAGCUCCAAUUACAGCUACAUGACCAUCAUCUUAUGCGCUUAUAACUUAAUUAGACCUACAGUUUGGUCUCCAAUCACCAUUAAAUCUAGCUUCCCUUGUUGAAAGUAGUUAGAACUACAACAAUAUAACUGAACUUAGAGCAAUAUAACAUAUACAAGUACACAAACAAAUAAUAAAUUUCUGGAGUGCUUGCCAAGCAAAUGUACAUUUCAUUUACAAACCAACUAUAUCAUUCCUCUUUUUUCCCCAUUUUUUCCUUCCUUCCUUUCUUUCUUUUUUUUUUUCCUCUCAGAGAUAAGGGUCGAGCUCAAUCUUGUUACAGACCAAGUAACAUCCAUUUACAAGUGUGUGCGCAAUUAAGAACUAAAGGAUAAGUAUCUCAUUCCUAUACAAUUUUCUCUAGUUGGAAUCCGGCCUCAAAUGUCUAAUGUUCUGAAGGCGUAGCUAUUUACAGAGUGGAGCUAUGGCUGUUUUUAUUGUGUUGGCUAUACAUUAGAUUCUCUUAUCUUCUUUCAUGAGUGUGAAACAGGUUCAUGAGGAGGACCUAAUCAACCUGAAGCUCUGCAAUGAACAGACCUUGAAGAAAUUUCCCAGGAGGAAUCCAGUGGUGCUCACUGAUUCAGGAUGUUUAGGAGGAGGCAAGGGAUUCUGCUUCACCUUCAAAAUUGUUUGACCGAUUUGCUCACGCAGUGAAUCAAUGGUCUUGCCUUCCACAGGGUUGCCCGACAUCUCGGAAAGGCAGAAAGUGUCCACUGCUUUGCCUUCAAUUGUUGAUAUAUCUGCUCUCCUUAUACGCAGGCCAUUCUCUCGGAAUAUCCUUGUAAUGUCCGAGAGAAGGCCAACCCUGUCCUCUGUCCUCAAUUCCAAUUCCAAUCCCUGUAAAGAUCCAAAGAUCGAACUUCAGAAAACCAAACCAAAGCAUCGCAUAUAUCUUGUAAUGGCUUGAAGUGAAUUAUACCUCCGAGGCUCGUCUCUCGAUAGCUGCUUCGAGGCACUGAAUCACACGCUGUCUUUCGGCCUCUGAGCUUAUGGGGAGCCCAUCAACAUGCCUUAUGUAAUAUUCCUGCAGUCGAACAAAAUUAAAACCUUAAGAAACACUGCAAAAAUUGCAAGGAACCAUAGUGAUAUCGAGCACGAGUAACUCCAUUAUGUCUUGCCUGAUAAGCUUCCGAGCUUCCUGUGUGGACCGUUCCAUGGAACACAACAUACUGCAUGUCUGUGAGAGUACAAACAGUGUCGAACAAAAGCUUGGGUCGGUCCUUGGACCUCAAAAUGAUUAUAGUAUAAUCCUUCUCCGAGCAGUCCAUUAUUGCAACUCGAGGCCUAGAUUUCUCAUCUCCCUCUCCAAUCACACGUACUCUUUCGUAGUCUCGAUCAUCGAACAUCAUUUGAUGCAGCCUCCUCUCCGUGUGGGUGAGCCCUCUCGAGACCAUCAUCUUAGCAGUUCUCGAAGUGUUGUCCCCUUUAAGGACAUUGAAGAGUAGUUUCUUGAUCGUGGAGAGUCUCUGAGGGUCCUCAAUUGCACCCAUUGUUGACUCAUCAGUGACAUGAACCACUGCCGCAGCUCUGGUGUUGUGAGUCCAGACCUCUCCUUUCACCACAUUACAAUUCAAGUCAGCGAGCACAGCAAAUAUUUCAGAAAGUAGGCCAGGCCUGUCGGUGCCCGUUAGCUCAAUUGAUGUAUUCUCUUCGGACGACAUAAUGCCAACUGAAUUCCUGAGUGUGGGGAAGUAGCAAGCAUCUGAUUCUAGGGACUGCAGAAUGAUUCCAAUCAAAACAAGAUGAUUAGGUGAUUGGAACUUGAUCUGAUACUGAGAAUCUAUCAGGAAGUGAACUAGGUCUGGGUAUCAAGAGUCUAACAUGGAUUGAUAUCAAGCGUUUGAAGAAUUUGGAAGUCCUUAGCAUCCUCAAAUGCAUAUACAGCUAAGUUAAAGUUUUCGAAGAACUAACAAACCUGAUCAAGGAAUAUAGCAAACUUACUGUUUGUAUACAAGAGAUGAUCUUUUUGUCCCUGACUUUAUUCCCAUCGCGGUCGGUCACAUUAAAGACUAAAACCAUGAGAAAAUUUGGUAAGUAAAUUUCAGUGCACAUAGACAAGUUGAAGGUCUUAAAUUUGUGUUUCUAUUUCCUUCUAGAUUUGAUCUGAUGGCAAGCCUUACCAUCCAUGAACCAACUCCCAUCUGAGGAUAUAUAAGCUUUGGUGAUGAUAAGGUUCAGAUCAGUGAGGACUUGGACUACUUCAAGGAGAAUUCCAUGCUUGUUGACGCUGUGCACCUAAGAUAUGGAAGACUAAAGACACUAAGAAAUAAUACAGCAAGCAAGAUUUCCACAAAUAUGAAAUGGAUUCAGUGGAAGCUGAUAGCUUAAACACAAGCCUUCCGAGAGGAAGCUCAACCUUACCCGAAUAACAGUUACGUUAUCGCAAGCAUCAUUGUCUAUCACAAUCCUGCAGCGAAAAGCAAUAGAUAUAGCUGAGAAGCAAUACAAAAAACAAGGAACCAAAGGGUAAUUUAGAAGGCUACAC
rnacentral:lncRNA from 1 species